rnacentral:lncRNA from 1 species
GAUGUUAUAAUAGUAAGCUUGCAGUAUGUCAACUGUAGGGGUAUGGAAGCUUAUGUUGUUUAUACUUGAGGAGAAUCGCGUCCCAUUGGCCCCUGCACAUGAAUUAUUGACGCAUGGGUACGAGUUUACAGAAACAGUGUAAAUCAGGUUAGUGCUCGUGCUCAAUGGGACAUUGCAAGGAUGUUCCGCAUUUGCUAAGCUUCGGAGGCCGGCCAUGACCUGAACGGAUGCAUUUGUGUCAUUGUAAGCAGGAAGAUAAGGCAAGGAGGGAGGUGAAGAUGGAGUGUAGUAUCCGCUGUAUUGUACAAUAGCUGUGGUGGUUGUGUUAUCAUAAAAGUCUUGAUAUUUCGGGGCAACAGAAUAAGUUAUAGCCGCCAUGUAAUAGUGAUCCGGGCGUUGGUUAGCUUCUAGUAACACAUCAUAGGUUUGGCCAGGAAAUAUUGUGAUAAAAUCUAUUGUCAAUGGUUUCGUGUAGCUACCAUCUGUUCCAACCACUGUAAUUUUAUGCUUGUCAAUGGAGAAGAAGAGAGCCUCCUGCAAAGCAGCAUUGAUUAUGCGAAGUAGAUAGGUCUUUCCAUGAUCCACCGUUAGCUUGAAUGUGUCUGCAAUUAGAGAAGGAAAGUUGUAUACUUAUGACUAGCCAAAAGAAAAAGAAAAAGUUUCCAUGAGGAUCCACUAAUUAUGAAGUGAUUGAUUGAUGAGGGGUGUAAAUUUGGCUCCAUAGUUCAAAAUUAUAUUUGGACUAGCCUUUUUUUGUGUUUUAAAUCAUGGCUCUACCAUCCUCAUAGCUAUAUUCCUCUUUCUUAGCAUUAAGCUUUAAAUAUGUUGAUGUUAAUAAGAAAAAGUAAUAUGGCUAACAUAUAAGAAAAUGAAAUUGUGUACAAUUUUAAAAUGGGAAGUUAAACUUUGUACCUGAUUUUGAGCAUGGAUAUAGAUCACCGGGUUGUCCAUUUAUCAAUAAUGCAUCAGAGGGGUCAGGGUCACCUCCGGUUGCAAGCCCUUCAUCUCGAACCGCAUUCACAUCAUUCUUCCACCAUUCUCCUGCAUUUCAACAACUUCAAUAAUUUUAGAUUUUGCUUUGUUGGUUAAUUCAUAAUAUGUAAAUUAACCUUUAAAAGUAACAACACUUAUACCUAAUAUGAUAGGGACCUCUCUAUCAGGUUUGUGAAAAGGAUACUUGGUUCCAUUCUUGGGAUAGAUAAUUAUAGCUCCAUGAACAGUGGCUCGGGUCCAAUCACUGUGAGCAUGCCACCAUAGAGUGCCUUCUUCAGUGGAAAGGAUGAUCUUCUGUGUAAACUUUGACCCUGGCCGAAUUGGGCAUUGUGUGAUAUACUCGGGACCAUCUGUCCAUGGAUAUCUAGGCAUGGUCACCCCAUGCCUGCGAAACCAUAACUAUACGUUAAAACUAGUACUAAUUUUCAAAGUAACAAAAGAUGGCAUGCAACAACAUAUUAUCAUAAUAACAAGAGGCAUCAAUUNNNNNNNNNNNNNNNNNNNNNNNNNNNNNNNNNNNNNNNNNNNNNNNNNNNNNNNNNNNNNNNNNNNNNNNNNNNNNNNNNNNNNNNNNNNNNNNNNNNNNNNNNNNNNNNNNNNNNNNNNNNNNNNNNNNNNNNNNNNNNNNNNNNNNNNNNNNNNNNNNNNNNNNNNNNNNNNNNNNNNNNNNNNNNNNNNNNNNNNNNNNNNNNNNNNNNNNNNNNNNNNNNNNNNNNNNNNNNNNNNNNNNNNNNNNNNNNNNNNNNNNNNNNNNNNNNNNNNNNNNNNNNNNNNNNNNNNNNNNNNNNNNNNNNNNNNNNNNNNNNNNNNNNNNNNNNNNNNNNNNNNNNNNNNNNNNNNNNNNNNNNNNNNNNNNNNNNNNNNNNNNNNNNNNNNNNNNNNNNNNNNNNNNNNNNNNNNNNNNNNNNNNNNNNNNNNNNNNNNNNNNNNNNNNNNNNNNNNNNNNNNNNNNNNNNNNNNNNNNNNNNNNNNNNNNNNNNNNNNNNNNNNNNNNNNNNNNNNNNNNNNNNNNNNNNNNNNNNNNNNNNNNNNNNNNNNNNNNNNNNNNNNNNNNNNNNNNNNNNNNNNNNNNNNNNNNNNNNNNNNNNNNNNNNNNNNNNNNNNNNNNNNNNNNNNNNNNNNNNNNNNNNNNNNNNNNNNNNNNNNNNNNNNNNNNNNNNNNNNNNNNNNNNNNNNNNNNNNNNNNNNNNNNNNNNNNNNNNNNNNNNNNNNNNNNNNNNNNNNNNNNNNNNNNNNNNNNNNNNNNNNNNNNNNNNNNNNNNNNNNNNNAGGAGAGAAACCUGAAUUGGGAAUAGAAAUCUUGGUAAUUUAUUUGCCAGACUUUGCAUUUCCCUUAAUGUAGCUGCCACAAAGUUGCUGCUUUCAUUGUCAGACAGUCUGAAGCAAUUAGAAAAUGUGAAUCGGAGGCCCCCACAUUCCUUGGAUCUGUAGACACUUGAUGGACACAAAAUGUUUUCCAUAACUGUGCCAUCAUGGGCAUCUAUUUCUUCUAUACUUGAUGGAAGCUCUGGUAAUGAUUGAAGCCUCUUGCAACAACCCAACUUAAGGCCUUUGAGCUGUGAAAGUUGAUUGAGGCGUGCAGGUAGAGUAACAAAAUUGUUUCUGCUCAGAUCUAAAUAUUCCAAUGAGCACAGAGAGCUAAAGUCAUUGGGAAUUGCUCCUUCCAAUAUGUGGCAAUCACUUAGAUUUAACUUUCUUAGGGAUCUUAAACCAAAGAAAGAUGCAGUUGCCACACUAUUCUUAGAUUUAACUUUCUUAGGGAUCUUCAUAUUUAGUUUCAUAGGAAAGAUGUUUUCAAAGAAAUCUGCAUUCUUUGUUUCUAUUAUAGUAUUGACAUCUACCAGAUUAUUUUCUGACUUAGUAACAAGAAACCUAUAUGCCACACUAUUCUCAGCAUAGCCAAUGAACGUUGCAUCAAAGGUUUUAGGACCUAGUUUUCGUUUUUUAGGUUCGGGGAGAAGAACUUUAGCUAAACACCCCCACACUUUCAGGUAUGCUAUAUUAGGUGCAUAACCUUUCCACAACUCAUAAGGAGUUUUACUAGUUUUCUUGUAAGGUAUUCUAUUUUGAAUAUGACAUGCGGAUAGGAUAGCUUCCCCCCACAAGUUCAAGGGUGCUCCUGAACUUACUAACAUUGCAUUCAUAAUUUCUUUUAAGGUCUUAUUUUUCCUUUAUGCUAUUCCAUUAGACUCAGGGGAAUAAGGAGGAAUAAGGAGGAGUAGUUUCAUGAAUGAUCCCAUGAUCUUCACAAAAAGAAUUAAAGGGGUUGGACUCAUACUCUCCUCCUCUUUCAGUUCUAAGCCUUUUAAUUUUCUUACUUAGUUGAUUCUCCAUUUCAUUUUUGUACUUGAUGAAAGCAUCUCUUGCUUCAUCUUUGUUUCUCAAAAGAUAUACCCUUGUAUACCUUGAGUAGUCAUCUAUGAAAGUUAUGUAGAAUCGUUUACCACCUCUAGUCAUUGUAUUUUUUAGGUCUCCUAAGUCACUAUGUAUUAAACUUAGUAGAUCUGAUUCUCUUUCAACUGAUUUGCAAGAUUUCUUUGUGGUUUUAGAUUCUACACAAGAUCCACAUUUUCCAUGGUUUUCUAAGGACAGUUUAGGGAUUAAACUCAAUUCAACAAUUUUCUUCAUAUAUGAAAAGUUCACAUGUCCUAGUCUACCACAAGGAUUGAAAUAUUGGCAAAUACGGAUAUAUCGGUACUUGGAUUUUACGGAUAUAUCGGAAAUAUCAGAGAAAUAUCGGUUGAUAUUUUUCAUCAAAUAUCGGUGAGACAAAAAUUAUCCAAAAUUGAUGGGAAUGCUUAGAAAAAUCCAAAGAAUGAUAAAAUAAGCAAGAAUAUACAUGUUAAAGUUAUUUUAUAAGUGUAAUUGACAUAAAUAUGGUCAGAGAAAAAAAUAUCGGUAAACAGUUUACGAUACUUGGAUUUUAAGAAUUGAAAAUAUGAAAUUUGGAAUUGUACACUUGGAUAAAGUGAAGAUUGAUUUUCCACCAUUGGAUCACAAAUCUGACCGUUGGAGGCCUUUACAAAUACACGGGUGAAAUCUGGGCCAUCAGAUCCUCAAAAAUUCAAAAUUGGCCGUCAGAUCAAAAUCCUUGAAGUUGGAAAAAAUUGGCAAUAUAUAGGUAAAAUCCCUGAUUUUUUGGGCUCUUCCUCCGGCUUCUCCUCGCAUGCCUCCACUGGCGAUUUUUCGCCGAUUUAUCGGUGCUUCACCGAUAUUUCGCUGAUAUAUUGGCGAUUUUGCCGAUUUUUUACCGGUUUUUCCUUUGAUCGAUAAUCGGUGACGAUUAUUGUUUCGGUGCCGCCCGAUAUUCGAUAUUUCUCCGAAAUAUCGACGAUAUAUCCCGAUUUUUCAAUCCCUGGUCUACCAUGUCAAAUAUCAUAAGAAUCAACUAUGUAAGCAAAAGAAGAAGAUGUAUUAUUAUUGAUAAUAUCAUAAACAUUCAACAUAAAUAAACCCUGAUUACAAUAGCUCUUUCCCACAAAUGCAUCAUUCUUGGUUAAAACUAUUUUAUCAGAGUCAAACAAGAUCCUCACUCCUGCUUUUCCAAGUAGAGAUACCGACACCAAGUUCCAACGGAUAUCUGGCACAUGAAGAACAUCACGUAGGGCAAGCACUUUUCCAGAUGUUAGCUUGAGGAGAACUUUCCCUUUGCCAAUCACUGGAGUAGAUCUAGAAUCACCCAUGAACACUUGUUCCUCUCCUUUCUUUAUAGUGGUAUAGGAAGUAAAUGCAUUUCUAUUCCCACAGAUGUGCCUAUUAACCCCAAAGUCUACUACCCAUUCCUUCAUAUUGGUGACCAUGCUCACCUCAAAGGAGAUUACUGUUGUGAUCACCUCUGUCUCUGCCAGAUUUGCCUUUGAACUGGUCUUCUCAAUUCUCUUCCUAUGGCGACAUUGAGCUGCAUGGUGUCUAGACUUGCCACAGACAAAGCAAUUACCCCAUUUUUUAAUAAUUGAGUUUUGGACCUUGUUUAAUGCAUUGGGCUUUGUCCUAAAGUUUUGUUUCCUAAACCUAUUAUUUUUGGGUUUAGAUUUUUCUUCUACUACAUUAGCUUUAGAAGACAAUUCCUUAGUUUUCUCAAUAUUGUCCCUAUUUCGGUUUUGUUCCUCAAUCCUAAUAUGGAUUAUGACAUCCUCUAAGGACAUUUGUUUCCUUUUAUGUUUCAUUUUGUUUUUAUAGUCUUUCCAAGACUCCGGAAGAGCCUCUACUAAAUAACCAGCCACAAAAGGUUCGGGUAAUUUAAUGUCUUCAAUAGCUAAGUCAUUAAUCAACAAGUGGUAGUCAUGGAUUUGAGAUGAUACAACUCUAUCCUCACUCAUUUGGAAAUUUCUAAAAUUCCCUAUGGCAUAUUUAUGAGUUCCCGCAUCUUGCAAAAUAUAUUCUUUAUUCAUUGCAUCCCAAAUUUAUUUUGCAACUUUAAAUUGACAAUAAAUAUCAAAAAGUUCAUUAGAAAGUGUACUCAGAAUAGCAUGGCUAACUUGUUUAUUUCUAGUUUCCCAGGUUGGUAACAUAUGAGAACCAUCUUCUGGUUUUGGAUCAGUAAAAAUAUGUCCUAAGUUCACCACAUCAAUUGUAGAGAAAACCCUUUCCUGUCAUCUCUUAAAGAAUGUCCCAUUAAAUGGAUUAAUUUUAGAGGUGUCAGGAUGGGUGUGAAUUAGGGAAGCUUUCAUUUGAAUUUAUUUCAAGAUUGUUGGAUUUUAAGGGUAUGGAAACAAAGACUAGCCCAAAAGACACAAACAAAGAACAUCAUGAAUAAAAAAAAAAAACUUAUCGGCUGAGGCAUGACAAGCACUGUCCUUGAAAUAGAUCCACCCUCCUCAAAGACGAACUCGGUGCACUAUGUGAGAAAGGGUAUAAAUAAUGUGAGAUAAGGUACAAAAAAAUGUGAAAAAAAUGUACGAAUAAUGUGAGAAAAUGGUAUGCACAAUGUUAUAAAAUGGUAUGAACAAUGUGAAAAAAGAUACAAAUAAUAUGAGACAUGGUAUGAAUUAUGUGAGAGGGGAUACAAAUAAUGUGAGGGAAGGUACAAACACUAUGAGAAAGAGUACAAACAAAACAAGGAAAUGUACAAACAAUGUGAUAAAUGGUACGAAAAAUGUAAGACAUGGUAUGAAUAAUGUGAGAUAGGGUACAAAUAAUGUGAUAUAAUGUAUGAAGAAUGUGAGCAUGGGUAUGAAGAAUGUGAGAAAUUGUACGAAAAAUGUGGAAAAAAAAGUACGAACAAUGUGAGAAAUUAUACAAAACAAUGCAAGACAUAUGGUACAAAUAAUGUGAGAGAGAUGGUAUGAAAAAUUUGAAAUAUGAUACGAACAAUGUAAGGAAUGUUACAACCAAUAUGAGAAAGAAUACAAAGAAUAUGAGGAAGGAUACGAAGAAUGUGAGACAUAGUAUGAAAAAUCUGAGAAAGGGUACGAACAAUGUGAGAAAGAAUACAAAGAAUGUGAGAUAGGGUAUAAAUUGUAAAGAAGCCCAGAUCACUCUAUUCCAUAUCUUAGAAUUAGGUUAGAUGCAUGCAAAAACUUUCCUAGGUUUUUCUAAAUCCUAUGCAUAAUAAAAACAAACAUUUAAAAACUUUAGCAAGAUUUAAAAAUCAAAAGAGAAAAACUUUACAUUGAUUUGGAUAUUCUCAAAUCAAAUCCAUGUGGUGAAGUUGAAGCUUGAAGUAUUCAAAGGUCUCAAUGACUCAAACUCGAUAUUUGAACCCCAAAGGUGGGUUGGCUAUUGCUAUCUACAAAUUGGAUGAUAGAACACAACUAUCUUAAAAACCCUAACCUUUGAGAAGGUAUUUAUAGGGUUCCUUAAUUAGGCUUAAGUGACUUAAGCUUACCGUGGACUUAGGUCACUUAAUUUAGCUCAAAAUAUGUCUUAAUCAAUUAAUUACAUGACACUAUUAGGUUAAUUGAUUAAUUAACCUAAUACGGCCAAUCAAUUAACCUAAUAGGGCCAUGUAAUUAAUCAAUUAACCUAAUCUAGAGGUUUUAUUCACUUACCUUUGUGUAACCUUACAUAAUUACCAAAACAUUAUUAUGCACAAAAGUUAAUUAAGAGUUAACCUAACCCUUAUGAACCAUUCCACCAAGGUAUAUGAACUCGAGUGGGGACCCCACUAGGAACCAUAGGAUAAUACUGACACAUUCAUAAUCUAGUUUUGAAGUUAACUCAACAUUCCACUACAAAAAAUUAAUUGCACCACAAUAUCCUAUGUACAAUACAAUGAGACACCAAGUUCUCUAGAUCGUGACCUAUUAUCCACUAAUUGCACCACAAUAUCCUAUGUGCAUAUGAUCAAAUGACAUGCCCUACCUCACUAAGAGCAUACGUCAAAUUACUAAAGGAAUUACUAUGUCUCCACAAAUUUCAUGAUCACACGUCCUUAGGAUCACCCAAUGGAACACACUCUCUUAAAGUCCAUGAGAUAUCGUGGUGUCUCUAAUGAGAAUACCAAUUGUUAUCGGCUUCCAUCAAUAGUGACUUAAUCCAUAGGAAAUAUAUGAUCAACUUACGAUCUCACAAUAGGUCAAAACCUCUACUAACUUUAACUUAUAUAAGCUUAGUAUUCUCUUAAGGUUGAGAGACAAUACAAUAUAAUAGCUUGGUGAAGUCAUGACUACAUGAUAGUCUUAUGUCGUGACUCACCAUAGGUUCUGUUCAAUAUUGUGCAAACUUACACACUAGUGCACUCACCAUGGGAACCCCAUCCCAAUGGCCAAGACCAAUCAUUCCUCCUAUUAGAAGGUAGUGCACUACAACUUCUAAUGGGUUACCUAGGUUCAUGAACUAGCUAUGAACAAGUCAUCUAUUUGUAAUAAACCCAUGACUUGGAUCUUCUACGCAACUCCUAAUGCACUUAAGUCGCAUUUAAUCAAACCUAAAUGCUUACAAGGUAUAAUGAAUGUCAUGUCAUGUCAUGUCAUGCUUUUAAAGAUUUUAUCAUAACUUGAAUAAUGUGAGACAUGGUACGAACAAUGUAAGAGAGAGUACAAAUAAUAUAAGAAAGAGUACACACAAUGUUAGAAAGAGUAUGAACAAUGUGAGACAAGAUAUGAAGAAUGUGAGGGAGGGUAUGAACAAUGUGAAGGAGGGUACAAACAAUGUGAGACAAUACAUGAAGAAUGUGAGGAAUGAUACAAAGAAUGUGAUGAAUGGUACAAAGAAUGUGAGGCAAGGUAAGAAGAAUGUGAGAAAGCGUACGAACAAUAUGAGAAAGUGUAUGAACACUGUGAGACAAUGUAUGAAUAAUGUGAGAUAAUGCAUGAAUAAUGUAAGAUAGUGUACAAAACAAAGUGAGAAAGAAUACGAACAAUAUGAGAAAUUAUAUGAAAAAUAUGGAGGGUAUAAAGAAUAUGAGAUAUUAUAUAAAUAAUGUGAGAAAAUAUAUGAAAAAUAUGAGACAUAGUACGAAUAAUGUAGAAAUGGUACGAACAAUGUGAAAUAAGCUAUGAAGAAUGUGAGAAAUAGUACUCUUCAUAUCCUUUCUCACAUUAUUUAUACCCUCACUCAUGUACUUUUGUACAUAUUCUCACAUUCUUUGUACAUUAUCUCGCAUACAAUAGAUAUUGUUUUAUUAAAUACAAAAAUUUUUUAAAAAAUAUUGAAUUUUUAAAAAACCAAAUUGAUAACAUGUAUGGCUAAAUAAUGUAGUUCUCUAACUACUAUUUUUUUAUUAUUUUAUUUUAGUUUCUUCAUGGAUAUAAUGGACAAAGGCAAAGGAAAGAAAUUCAUCAUUGAUUUGAAUAAUGAAAACUUUGAUUAAUAAUAUGAUUGCAAUGUGAAAACGGAGUUUGACAAAAAGCCCAUGCUAGUUUAAGAGAAUAUUUUGUAUGGUUUAAGCCUUGAAGAUGUAUGGGAAAUGGAGUUCAACUCAAUAGAUGAGAUAGAAGAAUUUUACAAUUUAUACGUAAAGUUAACAAAUUCAAUGUUAGAAAGGAUGAUGUUAAAUGAGAUAAGAAUCAAAAUAUAGCAUCUCAUAUGUGGGUUUGCUCAAAGAAGGAUAAAGACAAACAAUAUGUUUGGAGAAUGAAAAUCGAAAACGAGAACAUAAGACAAUAACUAGAGUUGGUUGUGAGACAUCACUUCGUAUCGAGUUUAACAAACAAAUAAAUAAGUGCAUUAUGAUGGAGUUUAUGGGUGAUCAUAAUCAUCCUUUGGUGGAACCAAAAAUACCCAAUUCUUUCAAUCCCAAAGGGUCAUGAGGAAUGCAUAUAAGGCUUAAUUGAGUGCAAUGCGUAGUGUUUGCCUGAGAACUAGACAAUUUAUGGAUUACAUGGUGCAACAAUUAGAUGGAUAUAUUAAUGUGGGCUUCACAAAGAAAAAAAGAUCUAUAUAACCAUGUUAAUGUUGAUUGUAAAGUUCAGAUAAGAAAUGGUGAUACAAAGGGUACACUUUCUUACUUGUGUGGAAAGGUUUAAAUGGAUACAUCAUUUUAUUACAAGUACAAUGUUGAUAAAGACAAUCGCUUAACGAACUUGUUUUGGCCAAAUUCUACAAGAAUAUUGGAUUACACUUAUUUCAGAAAUGUGUUAGCAUUUAAUAGAACUUAUGAGACUAAUGCUAAUAGAAAACUAUUGGUCAUCUUAGUUGACAUUAACCAUCACAAUCAAAUUGUAGUGUUUAGAUGUGCAUUAUUGGUAGAUGAGAGUCUUUACACUUAUACAUAGGUUUUGGAGACAUUUUUGGAUGUAAUGAAUAAAAAGAGGUUUUUUUUUUUUUUUUUUUCUGUUAUUAUAGAUGAGGACAAAGCAAGGUGUCAAGCCAUUAAGAGAAUAUUUCUAAAGUUUUAUCAUUGGUUAUGUGCUUAUUAUAUUCAACGCAAGACAUUCAUUAAUGUCUAUGUCAAAGACUUUACUUAUCAUUUUUCUAGGUACAUGUUCAUGGAAGGCACCGUUAAUUUGAAUGUGCAUGGAGUGGCAUGGUGGAAAUGUGUAAUCUCCAUGAACAUAAUUGGGUGAUAGACAUAUAUGCUAAGUGUCCUAGAUGGGCAAAGGCUUAUUUAAAGGUGCAUUUUUUUGCAAGUUUGAAAGCGCACAAAGGUGUGAAAGGAUGAAUGCAUACUUGAAUAGUUUCCUUAAAACUCAUUUAAAGUUGUUUGAGUUUUUGAAGCAUUUUGAUUGAGCACUCUCAUGUAUUCAUCAUAAUGACGCAAAGGCAAAGUUUGAGAUGCACACUCUUUUACUUCUUCUAAACUCCAAACUCCAUGAAAUUGAGAAAUAUACAGAGAUUGUUUUCACUCGGAAAUCUUUUCUCAAAUUUAGGGAUGAAAUGAAUGCGAAACUUUUUUCCCUUAUUAGUACAAAAAAUCAUAGAGGUUAUCAUGUCCAUACAUUGACUAAAUUUAGAAGCUCUGACAAGUUCUCAAAAGUAUGUUAUGGUAAUUGUGAUUAGUCUAUGAAAUGUACUUGGAAAGGGAGACACAGGUUGGUGGUCUUUUGGGGGGAAUAGAAUAUAGAGAGGGAGACACCACUUUUUUGGAGAACGGAGGUCCACACAGGUUCAGAUUUUGGUGAGGCUUUCCCGGGAUUUUCGGAAGCAGAUUCAACAGAUUUUGGUGAAGGAGUUCUCUAGGCGGUUUUUUCUGUUGUUAAGUGGCAGCCGCAUGGACUGCAUGAGGAGGGUUGACGUCUCAUAGUUACCUUCUUUCCUCCAUUGAUAGUAGCCCACAAGGCCACCUUAAGUGGGCGACACAAUACGGCUGCCAUGCACGCAUGAGGCAGCCAUGACGCUGCCAUGUGGGAGAAGGUAGCAACCACUUCCGCAUUUUUUCUAUGUAUCUCCAGAAACUCCUUUGUACAGCCCACACACGGGCUAAUGAAGCAGAUUCGGCAUAUUUUUAGAGGGGGAAUCUUGAAACCACACAACAUCAAGAGACUUGGCCGGAAGUGUGAUGAUGGGUGUUUCCAAAGAAAAGUUAUAAUUCGCCCACUGUUGAAUAUGUUCAUAGAUGUGAAGGGUCCCACGAGCCUUGAAUUUGUCACUACAUGCAAAAUAUAUGCAGAAGUGAUUACAAAAGCAUGACCACCUUUUCCUGCAUGUGAAUGUGUUGAGCUCUAUGGUGCAAUUACUAAUGAAAUUCUCAAUUUGGUUGAUAAGUAUUUUGAGAUGCAAAAGCAUGAUGUUGUCUGGGCAUUGGAAAUUUAUCAGAAAGCAGGAGAGCCAUCAAGCAUUCACCCGACAAGCAAGAGAAACACAUAGGCCGCACCAUUCUCCAACAAGACACAACAACAUACAUUCUUGAAGGUAAGUCCCUUUUUAAAAUUUUAUUUUAGUUUAAUUUUAAUUUAUUUAGUUAGUUUAGAUGUUUUUUUUUUCAUAAUUAGUUUAAUUAAUUCUACAUUAUAAAGUUCUUAUUUUUCAUUCCGAUUUAGUUUAGUGUUGAUUUUUCUUUUAAUUUAAGUGUGUUUGUGCUUUUAAUUCAAUAGUUUAAUUAAUCUUAUUAGAUAAAGUUCAUAUAUAUAUAUAUAUAUAUAUUAUCCAAAUUAGUUUAGUUUUAAUCUAUCUUUUAGUUUAAGUGUGUUAGUAAUUUUAAUUCAGUAGUUUAAAUAAUCAUGUCAGAUAAAGUUCGUGUUUUUAAUUUUAAUUAGCUUCGUCUUAAUUUAUUCUUUAGUUUAGAUUUGUUGUUGAUUAUAAUUUAUUAGUUUAAUUAAUCUUAUUAGAUAAAGUCUAAUUUCAAUUUAGUUUAGUUUUAAUUUAUUCUAUAAUUUGAGUUUGUUUGCGAUUUUAAUUCAAUUGUUUAAUUAAACCUCCUAGGUAAAGAUCUUGUUUUUAAUUCCGAUUUAGUUUAGUUUUAAUUUACUUAUUUAUUUAUUUAUUUUAGUUUAGAUGUGUUUGUAAUUUUAAUUCGACAAUUUAAUCGAUCUUAUUAGAUAAAGUUGAUGUUUUUAAUUCUAAUUUAGUUUAAUUUUAAUUUAUUUUUUAGUUUAAAUGUGUUUGUGCGUUUAAUUGACCUUAUGCUAGCUCUUGAUUUGUUAUUCUCAAUUUAGGCGUUUUCUUGAAUCUUAGUCAUUAAUUCUUGGUGAAUAUCUCAUUAGUUUAUUUAAUCUAAGUUUUAAUCAUUUAUUAUUUCGGUAGUCUCUUGUCAAAUUUACUUUUCAGAUGCCAUCGGAAAAUAGUGAAGAUUGACCUCCAUUCUCACCACUUUAGUUUGUUUGGUUGUCAAAAAUUUUACUUUAUGAUUUUGUUUACUUUUAUUUUGCCUGUUUCUUAUGUUUUGAUUGUUUUCAAAUUAUUUUAUUUUAUUUUUAAAUAAAAUAUUUUUCUCAAAAGAUCCAUUUGAAAAUUCUAUUUUAAAAAUAAUUCAUUUAGAGUCCUUAGAAUCAGAAUAUCAUUUUUUAAUAAUAUGCAACCAUGUCUUGAUUGGUUUGCAUUUUUCUCAGUUUUCAAUAAAAAUUCUGGUUUUAAAUGGAAUAUGAAUCCAAGCUUGUGGUCCCAAACAAAUGGGAUAAUUCUGGGCUAGAUUUCUGUAUAUCAAUUAGGGAAUUGGUGAAACCCCUACAUAAGAAAAUUCUUCAAAACUCAUAUUUUUUGCCACCUUUGCUAUUUCAUGAAAUCAUGUCUAUUUAUUUUUUAGGAAUGAUAUACAAGAUUUAUGUGAUAAUUGAUUAUUUCGUAUACUUUGAUCAUUUUUGCUAGGCUAAUUAUAUAACAAGCACGUUAGGAUAUCUUUAUUUUAUUAUUUAUUAUCUAACCCCUCAUGUCUUGUGAAAGCACGUUACAAGUUAUCUAUGCUAUCCAAGUACGUCCUCUAUCACCCACCUUCUAAAUUUUGUGAAUAUACCGAUCACUGUGAACUGCACUUAUGUUUGAUAGUGUUUGGGUGUCUUGAUAUUUGUUUCAUUGUUCAAUUAUUUUUUAUAAAGCGCAUGCUAGAUGAUAUAUUAUUUGAACUAACUUUGAUGUCUUAUGAGGGCGCUAAGAAGCAGUUUAGGUACACACCCUAAAUCUUCUUUAUAAUUAUGAUUUGUUUUUCUUAUUUGGCAUGCUAUUUUUGAAAUCACCUAGCUUACUUAGGUAUCCAUGAUCAACCAAUUAAUUGUCACAUUUCCCUCAACUUAGCCAGUAGAGAUCUUUUUAGGGCUUAGAGGAGUGUUACCUCUUAAAAGUACCUUCCCAAUAGGUAACCUGAUUCUUGAACCAAGACUUGGGUUUUCGAGACAUGCUUUUCCAAAAUUGUGGAGUCACUUAUUUAUGGUUUUCUUUCUUGUUUUAUUUUCCCUUUAAAGUAAAAUAAAAUAAGGGGCGACUCCAGCUUUUCCAAAACUAAUUUUUCACCAAUAAAAGCGAGUCUCGCUGAUUGAGUGGGAACGCACGUGAAAAAUGUGGGUCCACAGUAUAUAUGGGGCAACCUAAAGGAUUUAUUGUUAUAAGAUAAGAACACCAAGUUAGAGAUAGAUACAUUUAGCUAGGUUGGUUUUUAACCAAUCCAAGAAUCAAAUAGGAGUUCAUUGGUUUUAACUAAAGUACAACAAAUUUAUUUAUUUACUCAUACUAAUCCAACUUAAUAUCAAUUCGAUUCAGUUUAGUUAACUCAAUUUAUACAAAAAUAUUGAGUUUGUAUGUUUUUUUUCACUUUGACCAUACAACCAAAAUGAUCAAAUUGUUUUAGAUAUAUAUAUAUUUUACAAGUAAUACAAUUAAAUUUUUUUAAAAUAUGUGUAGGAGCAACCUGUGGGUUAUUUGCUUGUUGGGAGUAAGUCAAUGAGUAGUAUUAUUGACAUAUUGGGCACUUGUGACUUGAAAUUAUAUUAUCAUCAUUAUUAAGUCCCAAAGUACAAUGAUUUUAAAUUUUAGAUCAUGCUUAUGCCAUAAGCAACUUUUAAUUUGUAAUAAAGCCAUACGAGUUAGGCUCCAAGCCACUAACACCGAAUUGUAGCCCAACUAAGUUGGCUUUGGAUGAGCAUGGUUCGACUCAUAAAGUCCCAAGAUUCUCCACAACACUUCAAAGUCCAAGCAAUUAUAUUUGUCCCACUCCUCUACUACUUGGGUUUCUUUGCCAGUCCACUUUUGGUAAGUGAUCUAGGUUGAAUUUUCCAUAAACCAAAUACCAAAAUAGAAUUACUCAAGUAAGAAGACUUCUAAAGAGAAUAGUCUAAAGAGCUACUACAAAAGAGAAUUGGAGAUGGUUAGAGUAAUGGUGGUGGCUAUUGAAAGGGUUGAUGGUGGUGGGAAGCCAUAGCUACUAGUGAAGAGGAAGUUAGGUGAAUUGGAGACUCAGUGAAGAAGAUAAUGCGAACUUGAUAAAAUUUCCUUCAACUUUUCCUUCUCUCUCUUAUUUCCCCCACUAAUUUUUAAGGAAAGUAGUAGGGAAAAUAUUACAAUAUUUUCUUUAGUAUUUUCCUUUAUAUUUUUUUUCCAUCAUAUUUUUCAUGUCACCCAAACUGAGGAAAAUAACUUUCCAUAAUAUUUUUUUUCCCUUUCCCUUGCAUUUUCUGAAAACUAAACACAACCUUUAUAAAUAAAAAAUUAAGAAUUACAGUAAGACGGUAUAUUCUUCCUUUUUCUUCCUGCAUUUCUACAUCCACUACUCAAUUUUACAUCAUAUUUUUACUCCCUUCUUCAAUCAGCAUUCCUCUCUUUAUAUAGAGUUAUCUUCACACUAAUUCAUAAGAUAAGAAAGAUGAAUGAACCUUGGGGCAAGGUUGGACAAUUGGUGGCAGCUAGUCAAGGCUAGAAGUCAACUUUUGCUUGACUUUUUGGGAAUGGGUAGCAACGUGUCGACCUCUCUUAAGCAUGAAAAUGGCUAGAACGUGUUAAGCUCUCUUAUUAGAUGACGUGUCAACUAUAGGGCAAUCAUAGGAUGGGGAAUAUAUGGUAAUUAUGCAAAAAAAGAAAAAAAGAAAAAAAGAAAAAAAAAAUCGAUAUCCAAUUAUAUAGAAAGACAUCUUCCAACAUUUGAUAUAAAUAAAAAUUAAGAGAAAAAUAUUUUUAAAAAGCAUAUUAAACUAAAAAUAGGGAAUUAAUAAUAAAAUAAAGUAAAAAGGUAAAAUUAAAACCAAAUAUUAAAAAUAAUAUUAUUUAGGUUAAAUCAUUGGGUUUGCUAGAAGAGUUUAUAUAUAUAUAUAUAUAUUAGUUUUUUUUCUUCUUUUUAAUCCUAUCUAUGUUGUUGAUAUUAAUGCAUUGAAUUUGAUGUUACCUAAAACAAAAUUAUAUUUCAUGUUCUCUAUUAUAAGUGGACAACCAUACCUUAUGUUAUAUUUUAGAUAAAGAACGAAUAAUGAAGAUUGGAGUUGUAAGAAAUUAGGAGAUCCUAAUUUUAAAUAUGUAACAAAGUUCUAUAAUCACUCCAAUCCACAUUUAAAAAUUGUAUUUCUUUCUAAUAUGGGAGCAAACUUUUUCCUUCUUUCUUAUAAUUUUCAUUUGGGAAUGAUUUAAAAAUAAAUAAAUAAAAGCCCUUCUCAAUAUUAAAAAAAACACUCUUAUAAAAAUUAAUUAGGUGGAUGGUAAGGUCAUAUUCGGGAUAGCUUCAUAUUUUUUGCUUUAAUUGAAACUUAAAAUCAAAAUUAAAGUAAUAAUUUUUAAGAUGUUGUAAAAGUUUUAUUAAACAUGAAAGAACUUAUUGUGUAAACAAAAAUAGAACUAUAGAAUUCUUAUAAGAAAUAACAAUUUUAUGAAUUCUAUAUGAAACCUUUUUUAAAAGUUAUAAGUUUUUUUAUAAAUAAUUAAAUAGGUAUAGAAACUUUUAUUCAACUUAAUUUUUUUUAACAGUUAAAAGUCAAUCCAAAUAAAAUUUAAAUAUAUUUGAAAAUCAUUUUUAAAAAUCCAAAAAAUCACUUAAAAAUAAUUUCUGAACUUUUUUUUUUUUUAAUUUACAUUCAAAUACUAAGUGAUUCUUUUAAAAAUCAUUUAUAAUGUCAAAAUAUUUUUUUAUGGAUAAAAACACUAGAAAUAAAAAACAUUUUAAUUCAUGAAAUUUCAUUUAUUGUUAUUUAUUUUUUGGGAUUUAAUUCUUUACAAUUAUUUUUGAGUGUUUAUAAAGUAUAAUUAGGUUAUGCCCAAAUUUAUUCCUUUAACUCUAUCCAUUAGAUAUAAGUAGCGUGAAAUUUUGGCCUGUCUCCACCUUUCUUCACUUCUGACAUUGUCAUGCAGUGCUUCGUCAAUGGAUAAUAUAUUAAUUUAUUUCUUAAUUUAAUAGCAUUGGAGUGUCAGCNNNNNNNNNNNNNNNNNNNNNNNNNNNNNNNNNNNNNNNNNNNNNNNNNNNNNNNNNNNNNNNNNNNNNNNNNNNNNNNNNNNNNNNNNNNNNNNNNNNNNNNNNNNNNNNNNNNNNNNNNNNNNNNNNNNNNNNNNNNNNNNNNNNNNNNNNNNNNNNNNNNNNGAGGACAUGAGUGCUUGGAACAUACCAGGGUUGGAUGCCUCGAAUCUGAUUGCAACCCAACCAUUCGAAGGAACAGAGAUGGUAUUCUGAAAGGGAGGAUCCACCAGAUUAUAGCGCAAAGGGUCCUUAUUUCCAUCGAAAUUCCCAAAUCCCCAUCCAACAACAUAGAAACUGUAUCCAUGGAGAUGCAUGGGGUGGUGUGUCGCUGCAAGCACAUUUGUCCCUUGAAAAACAAUCUCCACUGUGGAGUUAUACUCGAGCACCCUUACUUCUGUUCCGCUGCUCGGCAACUGAUAGAUUAAUGGAAGAUAAUCAGCUGUAAAAUCGAACACCAGUGGUGGAUCACUAGGAAAUUUAUCUCCAUAUACACCACUGAUGUUAUAAUAGUAAGCUUGCAGUAUGUCAACUGUAGGGGUAUGGAAGCUUAUGUUGUUUAUACUUGAGGAGAAUCGCGUCCCAUUGGCCCCUGCACAUGAAUUAUUGACGCAUGGGUACGAGUUUACAGAAACAGUGUAAAUCAGGUUAGUGCUCGUGCUCAAUGGGACAUUGCAAGGAUGUUCCGCAUUUGCUAAGCUUCGGAGGCCGGCCAUGACCUGAACGGAUGCAUUUGUGUCAUUGUAUGCAGGAAGAUAAGGCAAGGAGGGAGGUGAAGAUGGAGUGUAGUAUCCGUUGUAUUGUACAAUAGCUGUGGUGGUUGUGUUAUCAUAAAAGUCUUGAUAUUUCGGGGCAACAGAAUAAGUUAUAGCCGCCAUGUAAUAGUGAUCCGGGCGUUGGUUAGCUUCUAGUAAGACAUCAUAGGUUUGGCCAGGAAAUAUUGUGAUAAAAUCUCGUGUCAAUGGUUUCGUGUAGCUACCAUCUGUUCCAACCACUGUCAUUUUAUGCUUGUCAAUGGAGAAGAAGAGAGCCUCAUGCAAGGCAGCAUUGAUUAUGCGAAGUAGAUAGGUCUUUCCAUGAUCCACCGUUAGCUUGAAUGUGUCUGCAAUUAGAGAGGGAAAGUUGUAUACUUAUGACUAGCCAAAAGAAAAAGAAAAAGUUUCCAUGAGGAUCCACUAAUUAUGAAGGGAUUGAUUGAUGAGGGGUGUAAAUUUGGCUCCAUAGUUCAAAAUUAUAUUUGGACUAGCCUUUUUUUGUGUUUUAAAUCAUGGCUCUACCAUCCUCAUAGCUAUAUUCCUCUUUCUUAGCAUUAAGCUUUAAAUAUGUUGAUGUUAAUAAGAAAAAGUAAUAUGGCUAACAUAUAAGAAAAUGAAAUUGUGUACAAUUUUAAAAUGGGAAGUUAAACUUUGUACCUGAUUUUGAGCAUGGAUAUAGAUCACCGGGUUGUCCAUUUAUCAAUAAAGCAUCAGAGGGGUCGGGGUCACCUCCGGUUGCAAGCCCUUCAUCUCGAACCGCAUUCACAUCAUUCUUCCACCAUUCUCCUGCAUUUCAACAACUUCAAUAAUUUUAGAUUUUGCUUUGUUGGUUAAUUCAUAAUAUGUAAAUUAACCUUUAAAAGUAACAACACUUAUACCUAAUAUGAUAGGGACCUCUCUGUCAGGUUUGUGAAAAGGAUACUUGGUUCCAUUCUUGGGAUAGAUAAUUAUAGCUCCAUGAACAGUGGCUCGGGUCCAAUCACUGUGAGCAUGCCACCAUAGAGUGCCUUCUUCAGUGGAAAGGAUGAUCUUCUGUGUAAACUUUGACCCUGGCCGAAUUGGGCAUUGUGUGAUAUACUCGGGACCAUCUGUCCAUGGAUAUCUAGGCAUGGUCACCCCAUGCCUGCGAAACCAUAACUAUACGUUAAAACUAGUACUAAUUUUCAAAGUAACAAAAGAUGGCAUGCAACAACAUAUUAUCAUAGUAACAAGAGGCAUCAAUUGUAUUUCAAUGGAACUAAAGCAAAUAACCUUAAAGUAUUGUUUUAAAUUUGACUUUAUUUUCAAAGUUAUAUAUUGUAGCCCCCUCUUAGAUAUAAAAGAAUGUAUGUCAUGCAAGCAUGCUACCACUGCUCUUUCUUUGAGACACGCACAGGACCUACCAAUGAAUGGUGAUGUUUUCGUUUCCCUUGUUAUAAACGUCGACAAUGAUCGUCUCUCCUUUCGUAGCAUAUAUGGUUGGUCCCGGAAAUUUUCCAUUUACUGUUAAGAUGUUCUUGGUGCUACAAAGCCUUUUAUAUGAAGCUUCCCUCACCUGCAACCAAUUAAAAGUUAGCCAUGCAACCUCAUCCCAAAAGAAAUAUUACAUGCAUGAAUAGUUGUAUCGAUCCAUUCAUGUAAGUGUAUAACCAAUUAGAAAUUGAUAGCAUGCAUGAAUGACUCAACGACACCAAGGUAGUAGGUCAUAUGGUACGAAAUGAGAGCCAUACCACUCCCUAAAUAUCAUGAUUACAAGGUGGCGUUAAGGCCAGAAUCAUAUAUAGAAUUUACCACAAAAGUAAGCCGACGGGUCGAAGCUUGGCAAUGGAUUCCACCACCAAAAACUAGAAACGCUAAAAUUUGCAGGAGGAAAACCUUCAUGAUCAGCCACAUUUUCCUUGGAAUAAAAGCCUCUUCUCUUGUCCUAAACACAACUCCUUCAAUUCUCUUACUGCUUUUGAUGUAUUUCUUUCAUAUAUGGUUCAUUAUAUAGGCAUGGUAAUUCUCUCGGGAUACAAUACGUGUCAAUAUAAGAGGAAGUGAUUUGAAUGUGUAUUGGUUUUCAAUGUUCUUUCAGGACGACUUCAAUGAGCAGGACCACUUCAAAAAUAAUUAAUUACGUACACGUUAUUGAUUAUUUUAGAAUAUUCUUUCAAAAGUCUUUUAUUGAUUAUUUCAACAAAUUUUAAUUAAUUAAAUAUAUGUAGAAUAAUUUUAAAACUUUGACUUCCCGUAUGAGUACAAUUUGUCAUGAUCGUUGGUGUAGAUAUAAAAAGAGACUAAAUUAAAGGAUUUUGAAAAUGUGUCGACAAGAACAUCAUUGAAAAAUUUGAAGGUUCCAAUUUUGUGGGUCAUGCAAUUUAUUGGACACUGAAUGGAUAAACAAGCCACGCUCUCCACUUAUUUUCUUUCAAUAUAUAAGCCUUGUACGUGAUGUUGGUUGACUAUUAUGAUAGUAAAUUCGGGAGGAUGUUUAAAUGGACGGGCAAGAUAAGAAAUAGAUUUUCUAUUAAGAUAUUUGAAUGGAGAUGAAAGCAUGGGUAUAGGUUUGUACUAAGGAAAUGAACAUAUGAUUAAAAUAAACCUGAUACAGUUAGUCUAUAAGAAUGGAUCCUGUUUCUAACCUUUUAACACACAAAUUUGGAAACCUAAACCUAUGGAUUGUUUCUUUCCUAUAAUGGAAUCCUAUGUUCCUUCUCAAAGCAGCGCUGACUUUUCCCUUCCUACCAACUACAAAGAGAAAAUCUUGACUAAUCUCGAUAAAGGUUUAUUUUAUCUAUACAUGCGAGGUCAAAGUUUUAAAAGUAUUCUACAUAUAUUUUAAAUUUAUUCUAAAAUAAUGUGUUUGAUUAAUUUCUUGGUCAAUUCUCAAAGUCAAACUUGUAUUUUGAAUUGGAAAAUUCUAGAGAUUCUAAGAAACUCGUCUUCUACGAUACACAACCUGAUUGAAGCUGAGCUGUGAGAAAUUUUCACAAUUGUUAGCAUUCUUCAGGCAUUUGGUUUAUUUAAAUUUUGGUAAUAGUCAUAUGAUAGUAAAUUCGGGAGGAUGCUUGCAUGCAUGGGCAUCAUGAUUUUUUUUGAGAUGUUUAAAUGGACGUGAAAGAUAAGAAAUAGAUUUUCUAUUAAGAUAUUUGAAUGGAGAUGAAAGCAUGGGUAUAGGUUUGUACUAAGGAAAUGAACAUAUGAUUAAAAUAAACCUGAUACAGUUAGUCUAUAAGAAUGGAUCCUGUUUCUAACCUUUUAACACACAAAUUUGGAAACCUAAACCUAUGGAUUGUUUCUUUCCUAUAAUGGAAUCCUAUAUUCCUUCUCAAAGCAGCGCUAAACCUAAACCUGAUACAGUUAAUCCUAUAUUUAAAAUACAAGUUUGACUUUGAGAAUUGACCAAGAAAUUAAUCAAACGCAUUAUUUUAGAAUAAAUUUAAAAUAUCCUUUCACAAGUCUUUUAUUGAUUAUUUCAACAAAUGUUAAUUAAUUAAAUAUAUGUAGGAUAUUUUUAAAACUUUGACCUCCCGUAUGAGUACCCUUCUGAAAAGUCGGGAGGAUGUUGGUUGACUAUUAUGAUAGUAAAUUCGGGAGGAUGCUUGCAUGUAACAAUUUUAUUUUAUUUUAUUUUAAAAUUUAUUCUAAAACCAUAGGUUUAGGUUUCCAAAUUUGUGUGUUAAAAGGUUAGAAACAGGAUCCAUUCUUAUAGACUAACUGUAUCAGGUUUAUUUUAAUCAUAUCUUCAUUUCCUAAGUACAAACCUAUACCCAUGCUUUCAUCUCCAUUCAAAUAUCUUAAUAGAAAAUCUAUUUCUUAUCUUUCACGUCCAUUUAAACAUCCUCCCGAAUUUACUAUCAUAAUAGUCAACCAACAUCACGUACAAGGCUUAUAUAUUGAAAGAAAAUAAGUGGAGAGCGUGGCUUGUUUAUCCAUUCAGUGUCCAAUAAAUUGCAUGACCCACAAAAUUGGAACCUUCAAAUUUUUCAAUGAUGUUCUUGUCGACACAUUUUCAAAAUCCUUUAAUUUAGUCUCUUUUUAUAUCUACACCAACGAUCAUGACAAAUUGUACUCAUACGGGAAGUCAAAGUUUUAAAAUUAUUCUACAUAUAUUUAAUUAAUUAAAAUUUGUUGAAAUAAUCAAUAAAAGACCUUUGAAAGAAUAUUCUAAAAUAAUCAAUAACGUGUAGGUAAAUAAUCAAGAACAUCUUAACAGUAAAUGGAAAAUUUCCGGGACCAACCAUAUAUGCUACGAAAGGAGAGACGAUCAUUGUCGACGUUUAUAACAAGGGAAACGAAAACAUCACCAUUCACUGGUAGGUCCUAUGCGUGUCUCAAAGAAAGAGCAGUGGUAGCAUGCUUGCAUGACAUACAUUCUUUUAUAUCUAAGAGGGGGCUACAAUAUAUUACUUUGAAAAUAAAGUCAAAUUUAAAACAAUACUCUAAGGUUAUUUGCUUUAGUUCCAUUGAAAUACAAUUGAUGCCUCUUGUUACUAUGAUAAUAUGUUGUUGCAUGCCAUUAUAGGAUUCCAUUAUAGGAAUAUAGUUAUGGUUUAGGUUUCCAAAUUUGUGUGUUAAAAGGUUAGAAACAGGAUCCAUUCUUAUAGACUAACUGUAUCAGGUUUAUUUUAAUCAUAUGUUCAUUUCCUUAGUACAAACCUAUACCCAUGCUUUCAUCUCCAUUCAAAUAUCUUAAUAGAAAAUCUAUUUCUUAUCUUGCCCGUCCAUUUAAACAUCCUCCCGAAUUUACUAUCAUAAUAGUCAACCAACAUCACGUACAAGGCUUAUAUAUUGAAAGAAAAUAAGUGGAGAGCGUGGCUUGUUUAUCCAUUCAGUGUCCAAUAAAUUGCAUGACCCACAAAAUUGGAACCUUCAAAUUUUUCAAUGAUGUUCUUGUCGACACAUUUUCAAAAUCCUUUAAUUUAGUCUCUUUUUAUAUCUACACCAACGAUCAUGACAAAUUGUACUCAUACGGGAAGUCAAAGUUUUAAAAUUAUUCUACAUAUAUUUAAUUAAUUAAAAUUUGUUGAAAUAAUCAAUAAAAGACUUUUGAAAGAAUAUUCUAAAAUAAUCAAUAACGUGUAGGUAAAUAAUCAAGAACAUCUUAACAGUAAAUGGAAAAUUUCCGGGACCAACCAUAUAUGCUACGAAAGGAGAGACGAUCAUUGUCGACGUUUAUAACAAGGGAAACGAAAACAUCACCAUUCACUGGUAGGUCCUAUGCGUGUCUCAAAGAAAGAGCAGUGGUAGCAUGCUUGCAUGACAUACAUUCUUUUAUAUCUAAGAGGGGGCUACAAUAUAUUACUUUGAAAAUAAAGUCAAAUUUAAAACAAUACUCUAAGGUUAUUUGCUUUAGUUCCAUUGAAAUACAAUUGAUGCCUCUUGUUACUAUGAUAAUAUGUUGUUGCAUGCCAUUAUAGGAUUCCAUUAUAGGAAUAUAGUUAUGGUUUAGGUUUCCAAAUUUGUGUGUUAAAAGGUUAGAAACAGGAUCCAUUCUUAUAGACUAACUGUAUCAGGUUUAUUUUAAUCAUAUGUUCAUUUCCUUAGUACAAACCUAUACCCAUGCUUUCAUCUCCAUUCAAAUAUCUUAAUAGAAAAUCUAUUUCUUAUCUUGCCCGUCCAUUUAAACAUCCUCCCGAAUUUACUAUCAUAAUAGUCAACCAACAUCACGUACAAGGCUUAUAUAUUGAAAGAAAAUAAGUGGAGAGCGUGGCUUGUUUAUCCAUUCAGUGUCCAAUAAAUUGCAUGACCCACAAAAUUGGAACCUUCAAAUUUUUCAAUGAUGUUCUUGUCGACACAUUUUCAAAAUCCUUUAAUUUAGUCUCUUUUUAUAUCUACACCAACGAUCAUGACAAAUUGUACUCAUACGGGAAGUCAAAGUUUUAAAAUUAUUCUACAUAUAUUUAAUUAAUUAACAUUUGUUGAAAUAAUCAAUAAAAGACUUGUGAAAGGAUAUUUUAAAUUUAUUCUAAAAUAAUGCGUUUGAUUAAUUUCUUGGUCAAUUCUCAAAGUCAAACUUGUAUUUUGAAUUAGAAAGUUCAAGAGAUUCUAAGAAAGUCGUCUUCUACGAUACACAACCUGAUUGAAGCUGAGCUGUGAGAAAUUUUCACAAUUCUUAGCAUUCUUCAGGCUUUUGGUUUAUUCAAAUUUUGGUAAGUAAUCAAAUAUCAUACACAACUUGAAGUGGUCCUGCACAUUGAAGUGGUCCUGGAAGAACAUUCAAAACUGCACAUUGAAGUGGUCCUGGAAGAACAUUCAAAACCAAUACACAUUCAAAUUACUUGGCUUAUAUUGAUACGCGUCGAGGAAUUGUUGAUACCCAAGCCACAUGUGAUCUGAUUUAAUGAAUCUCUGCCCUUCAUCCGAAGAAUUCUGGUGUUCUGGAUUGAUGGGAGCAAAAAGGUGACCAGUUUUACCUUGAGUCAAAUUCAAAUGACAAAAUAUAUUACCAGGGCAAUCAUGGACACCACCCUUAACUACAAAAAUAGCGCACACAGCCAAUCCCAUCAACCUAGUAUACACCAAUUUGGAGGCAGAUGUACCAUAUUACUGUGGAGUCUAUACUCUGUUGGCUGAACCACUCAAGAAUUCAACUUCCAGGAACAAAAGUACUGGAUUCAAUAUGUGGAGUAUAUGGCACCAUCUGGGUCAUGAAAAUCAAUGUCAAGUUAUAUGGAAAUAAUGUAGGAGUAGUGCUCAAAGGAGUAUAAGAAUUAUUCCAUAGGAUUUAAUUGAUUUACUUUUACAAUAUGAUCAAGAGAGAGAGGAGAGAAACCUGAAUUGGGAAUUGAAAUCUUGGUAAUUUAUUUGCCAGACUUUGCAUUUCCCUUAAUGUAGCUGCCACAAAGUUGCUGCUUUCAUUCUCAGACAGUCUGAAGCAAUUAGAAAAUGUGAAUCGGAGGCCCCCACAUUCCUUGGAUCUGUAGACACUUGAUGGACACAAAAUGUUUUCCAUAACUGUGCCAUCAUGGGCAUCUAUUUCUUCUAUACUUGAUGGAAGCUCUGGUAAUGAUUGAAGCCUCUUGCAACAACCCAGCCUAAGGCCUUUGAGCUGUGAAAGUUGAUUGAGACGUGCAGGUAGGGUAACAAAAUUGUUUCUGCUCAGAUCUAAAUAUUCCAAUGAGCACAGAGAGCUAAAGUCAUUGGGAAUUGCUCCUUCCAAUAUGUGGCAAUCACUUAGAUUUAACUUUCUUAGGGAUCUUAAACCAAAGAAAGAUGCAGUUGCCACACUAUUCUUAGAUUUAACUUUCUUAGGGAUCUUCAUAUUUAGUUUCAUAGGAAAGAUGUUUUCAAAGAAAUCUGCAUUCUUUGUUUCUAUUAUAGUAUUGACAUCUACCAGAUUAUUUUCUGACUUAGUAACAAGAAACCUAUAUGCCACACUAUUCUUAGCAUAGCCAAUGAACAUUGCAUCAAAGGUUUUAGGACCUAGUUUUCGUUUUUUAGGUUCGGGGAGAAGAACUUUAGCUAAACACCCCCACACUUUCAGGUAUGCUAUAUUAGGUGCAUAACCUUUCCACAACUCAUAAGGAGUUUUACUAGUUUUCUUGUAAGGUAUUCUAUUUUGAAUAUGGCAGGCGGAUAGGAUAGCUUCCCCCCACAAGUUCAAGGGUGCUCCUGAACUUACUAACAUUGCAUUCAUAAUUUCUUUUAAGGUCUUAUUUUUCCUUUAUGCUAUUCCAUUAGACUCAGGGGAAUAAGGAGGAAUAAGGAGGAGUAGUUUCAUGAAUGAUCCCAUGAUCUUCACAAAAAGAAUUAAAGGGGUUGGACUCAUACUCUCCUCCUCUUUCAGUUCUAAGCCUUUUAAUUUUCUUACUUAGUUGAUUUUCCAUUUCAUUUUUGUACUUGAUGAAAGCAUCUCUUGCUUCAUCUUUGUUUCUCAAAAGAUAUACCCUUGUAUACCUUGAGUAGUCAUCUAUGAAAGUUAUGUAGAAUUGUUUACCACCUCUAGUCAUUGUAUUUUUUAGGUCUCCUAAGUCACUAUGUAUUAAACUUAGUAGAUCUGAUUCUCUUUCAACUGAUUUGCAAGAUUUCUUUGUGGUUUUAGAUUCUACACAAGAUUCACAUUUUCCAUGGUUUUCUAAGGACAGAUUAGGGAUUAAACUCAAUUCAACCAUUUUCUUCAUAUAUGAAAAGUUCACAUGUCCUAGUCUACCAUGCCAAAUAUCACAAGAAUCAACUAUGUAAGCAAAAGAAGAAGAUGUAUUAUUAUUGAUAAUAUCAUAAACAUUCAACAUAAAUAAACCCUGAUUACAAUAGCUCUUUCCCACAAAUGCAUCAUUCUUGGUUAAAACUAUUUUAUCAUAGUCAAACAAGAUCCUCACUCCUGCUUUUCCAAGUAGAGAUACCGACACCAAGUUCCAACGGAUAUCUGGCACAUGAAGAACAUCACAUAGGGCAAGCACUUUUCCAGAUGUUAGCUUGAGGAGAACUUUCCCUUUGCCAAUCACUGGAGUAGAUCUAGAAUCACCCAUGAACACUUGGUCCUCUCCUUUCUUUAUAGUGGUAUAGGAAGUAAAUGCAUUUCUAUUCCCACAGAUGUGCCUAUUAACCCCAAAGUCUACCACCCAUUCCUUCAUAUUGGUGACCAUGCUCACCUCAGAGGAGAUUACUGUUGUGAUCACCUCUGUCUCUGCCAGAUUUGCCUUUGAACUGGUCUUCUCAAUUCUCUUCCUAUGGCGACAUUGAGUUGCAUGGUGUCUAGACUUGCCACAGACAAAGCAAUUACCGCGUUUUUUAAUAAUUAGAUUUUGGACCUUAUUUAAUGCAUUGGGCUUGGUCCUAAAGUUUUGUUUCCUGAACCUAUUAUUUUUGGGUUUAGAUUUUUCUUCUACUACAUUAGCUUUAGAAGACAAUUCCUUAGCUUUCUCAAUAUUGUCCCUAUUUCGGUUUUGUUCCUCAAUCCUAAUAUGGAUUAUGACAUCCUCUAAGGACAUUUGUUUCCUUUUAUGUUUCAUGUUGUUUUUAUAGUCUUUCCAAGACUCCGGAAGAGCCUCUACUAAAUAACCAGCCACAAAAGGUUCGGGUAAUUUAAUGUCUUCAAUAGCUAAGUCAUUAAUCAACAAGUGGUAGUCAUGGAUUUGAGAUGAGACAACUCUAUCCUCACUCAUUUGGAAAUUUAUAAAAUUCCCUAUGGCAUAUUUAUGAGUUCCCGCAUCUUGCAAAAUAUAUUUUUUAUUCAUUGCAUCCCAAAUUUAUUUUGCAACUUUAAAUUGACAAUAAAUAUCAAAAAGUUCAUUAGAAAGUGUACUCAGAAUAGCAUGGCUAACUUGUUUAUUUCCAGUUUCCCAGGUUGGUAACAUAUGAGAACCAUCUUCUGGUUUUGGAUCAGUCAAAAUAUGUCCUAAGUUCACCACAUCAAUUGUAGAGAAAACCCUUUCCUGCCAUCUCUUAAAGAAUGUCCCAUUAAAUGGAUUAAUUUUAGAGGUGUCAGGAUGGGUGUGAAUUAGGGAAGCUUUCAUUUGAAUUUAUUUCAAGAUUGUUGGAUUUUAAGGGUAUGGAAACAAAGACUAGCCCAAAAGACACAAACAAAGAACAUAAUGAAUAAAAAAAAAAAACUUAUCGGCUGAGGCAUGACAAGCACUGUCCUUGAAAUAGAUCCACCCUCCUCGAAGACGAACUCGGUGCACUAUGUGAGAAAGGGUAUAAAUAAUGUGAGAUAAGGUACAAAAAAAUGUGAAAAAAUGUACGAAUAAUGUGAGAAAAUGGUAUGCACAAUGUUAUAAAAUGGUAUGAACAAUGUGAAAAAAGAUACAAAUAAUAUGAGACAUGGUAUGAAUUAUGUGAGAGGGGAUACAAAUAAUGUGAGGGAAGGUACAAACACUAUGAGAAAGAGUACAAACAAAACAAGGAAAUGUACGAACAAUGUGAUAAAUGGUAGGAAAAAUGUAAGACAUGGUAUGAACAAUGUAAGAAAAAUAAAAAAUAGAUAAGAUUAAUAAAUUAUUUUUUCAUUAAUAUAAAUUAAAUAAUUAAAAUACCUAAGUUUUUCAAAAAUUUUAAUCAUGGUAGUGGGCCUUUGAUCAACCAAAGAUAGCCCAUGUAUCAUUUUCCAAAGUGAAGCACAACAACCUUAUAACAGUGAUGUCACAUAGCAAUUCAUUAUUCAUUAUUUUGUUUUCCCUUUUCAAUGUGGAUUUUCUUAAAGCUAUUAAAAAAACACACAAAAUCAAGAUUUGAGCAUGGGUCUUUCACAAUAUCUUUUAUAUACUAAUAAUUAUAAAUUAAUUAAAAUGAAAUUAUUAUAAAUAAGUUAAUUUUAAUUAUCUUAUUAUGUCUCAUAUAAAGUGAUUAGAUAUAGGAUAAAUAUAAAUUUAUAAAUAAAAUUAUUAACAUUUUCAAAUAAAAAAUAUAAAUAUAUAUCAAUUUUUUUUAUAUCCUUUAGUAUAUCUAAACUUAAUGCAUUAUCAUUUUAGUAUUAAUAUUUCCCAAUUCGGUAUAUUAUUGUCUGAGAUUACAAAUUUAUUAUACAUUUAUCAAUUUUUCUUAAAACAAUAUCAUUAUAUACAUUAUUACUUUUCUAUCAUUUUUUGAGUUAUUUCCAACAUUUCAUAAGGUUUUAUCAAUUUCCAUCUUAUAUAUAUAUAUAUAUAUAUUUCAGAAUUUUCAUUGAUAUUUCUUUAUAUAUCUAUAAACUCCAACUAAUGAUAUAUCGGUAAAAAUCAAUAUUUUUAUUCUUACUUAACAUAAGAAAGAAAAUUAUUCAAAUGGUGCAUAAAUUAAUGUGACCUCCUGAUGAGAAUGACAAUGACAACCAUGAGUCAUAAUUAGUGUAUGUGUGUGGUAAAUUAACUUAGUGUUUGAUAAAAUAAUUAUUUAUCAUCAUUUAAAAUUUAAAAAUAAAUUUAAAUGUUAAAUCAAAAUAAUUAACUUAUUCUAAAUACUAAUUUUUUUUAUUCUCUUUGUUCAUAUUUGGUGAUAACCAUGCUUUAUUUUUAGAAUUCUUUUUUUUUUUAGUAAAUAUUUUGUAGUUAUUUUGUAGCUUCACAAUAGUACUUUUUAAUAUAAAUGUUUAACAAGCUUGAGUUUAUGAAGAUAAAUAUUAAGAAAAAUUAAUGAGUUUAAAUAUAUCAAUAUAAUAACUUUUAAAAAAUUAAGUUGAUUUUACCAAAAUAAAAAUAAAAAUAAUUCAUCUUAAAAUUAAUUUCAAUAAUUAAGUAAUAAGGAUUAAGUUUUAUCAUACACUCUCUUAAUUAAUAAAUGACAUAACUUCUUUCAACAACUUCUUCGUUCUACUUUUGAAAAAAAAUAAUAAUAAUGUGAUAUUUAUUUAUUUAUGUCUAAAAUUUAAAUAUACUUGAAUUUGACUUAAAUCUAAAUAUAGCUUAAUAUUAUUAAGUGUUCAGACUAUUUUUUUUUAUUUGUGUCUAAAUAUUAUUAACUGUUAAAUUGUUUCUUUUUAUUAAUAUCAAAAUAUGUGAAGUGUUAAAUUUAUUUAUUUUUGGUUAAAAACAUUUAUAAAAGUAAUUGUUAUAUUUCUUCUUAUUUUAAUUUGAAAAGUUAUAAUUUAACAAAAUAGUAAUUUAAUUAACACAUCUAAAAAAUAUUAUAAUACAUUGUCAAAGUAAAAAUUUUAUAAUGAUAAUUAUGUAAUUAGUAAAUUAUAUUAUUGUACAAUCCAUUGUUCCAUGUCGUAUAAUAUAGAAUAGCUAUGCAUACCCAUCAGUGCAUAGACAUAUAUCUUUUGAUAAUCUAUCAUGAAUGUCACCUGGACUCUAAGUGAAGUAUGUAGCUAUUAUACUAUAAAGAUGGCAUAGGAAGAGGCUCCGGGUUUACUAGUUCUCACUCAACCAUAGAAAUAGGGAAUAUAUUGCACAUUAUUUUCAUCUAAAAGAAAGGUAGAAAGACCUUAGAAAUGGAACUUUUAGAUAAAACCUAAGGGUGGCAAUGAGAUGAGUCUAAGAAGGAUCACCUCAAUCUCAAUCUUAUGCCAUUUAUUUAUAUUAAAUGGGGUGAGAUAAGACAAAAUUAUAUUCGAACCUGUCUUGAAUUUGGUUCGAGGGCAAGAAGGGUCUUUACAAAAAUCAGCCUCAUUGUCAUUCUUAGGUACGCAUCUAUACCAAUGAAAGUUUUUACAUCUAUUAAAAAAUUUAAUGUUCCCGAUGUUAAUUAACUUCACCAGACUACAUACACUUCAUAAUCGUGAAAAAGUGUUAAAAUUCUCAACCAAUCAAUGACAUAAACUACAAUCAAGUUUAGUACAUCGUAACCCUAAAAUACCUCCAAACCCCAUUUCUUGUAAGACCCCCUUCUGAUUAGGUUGCAAAUGUUGAAGUGCAUUAUACAACUAAUUAGGCGAACAACAAGUGUCAAGGUAAGACUGCAAGCCAUACAUAUACAUAUGCAUAUAAAUUCGAAAUUGAAAGAAAAUAUUAUCAAAUUUUAAAAAGAUAAAUUUCAAUUUUUUUUUUGUCUUUGAUACAUUUUUUGAGCUUGUACCAUUUUGUUUUACAUAUUCAUUGGAGUAUUUCUUCAUCAUGGGUCUUCAUCCAUUAGGGCACCAAGGAGAGCAAGUUCAUUGGCACGUGCUUUAAUGGUAUGUAGGAAGGUAGUGAUGCUUUGCAAACCCUUGGUGUGAUUCUUAAGGUGGUUGUUGACUUGUUUAAUGUAGACAUGUGAUAGUUUGACAUAGGUAUUGGUGAAGAUGAUCUAUGCUUCACGAAAGGUUGUGGCACAGGCAAUGAAUGGAAUUAUGGUGGGUGAAACGGAGCCAAUAAGUGCAUUUAGGAUCAAUUGAUCUUGAUGAAGCAAGAAUAGGUUGGGUUGGGUAUUACAGUGUCGUUGGCAUAGUGGUGGGUGGACAAGGUUUGGUUCUAUCAAUAUAGCUAAGGCGGUCAAAGCCAAUAAAUAGUGUUUGGAAUUGAAAUCUUUAUGAUAUAUAGUUGGUAGUGGUUAGUUUAAGUGGGGCUCGAGCAAAAACAUUUAUUGAGAUGAGUAUUUGGUGUGACUCAUGGGUGUUGUGAAUAUUGAGAGUAGAAGUUACAGAAGUGGUGACAUCUUAGGUGGCCAUGAGGCUAUGAUGAUGGGGAGGAGCAUUAGAUGGCUUUGGCAUAGAAAAAGAGGUAAGAAGGAAGAACAAGUGGUGGUGAGGGUUUUCAGGUUAAGAAGCUUGAAUGCUCUGAUGUCAUAUUGAAGAAUGAGAUUGGUAAAUUAUUUUUCUAGGUUGAUUCUAUGUUGCUUAUAUGCAUGAUUCACCAAGGGUUUCUGACAAGCAUUAGCUAAGGGUGGCUGAACCCAAUGACAGACCAGAUGAAGGAUUAAUAAUAUAUUGCACUCCAGCAGUUCAACCAAUUCCCUUCGUUUCCUUAAUGACUUCUUUUGGUGACCUAUCAAUUUCUCUCUUGGAAAGUCUAGUAAUGGGUUGCCAAUUACCUAAAAGUUACUUCUGAGGUUUUGUUUUGUUGAUUCUAUGCUAACUGAUAAUCUGCAGAGGAAACAACUUGUUCGUCUGGAGAAGGUCUUGAAGCAUGCACUGUGAUGAAUUUGACCAGAAGAGUAAACUCAUCAAGUCCAUAUUAAGUCAUCAGGUUCCAGUAGAGCUAUUUCAAAAACUUCUUUAAUGCAUUAGCAUUUAAAAAUUGAAACAAUAAAAUAACAUAUAUUAUUGAUACUAUCAUUUAAAACAAGAAAUAUAUUGUUGAUAAUGGCAUUUAAAACAAUAAAAUAGUGCAUUAGACCUGCAUUCAAAUCUUCAAUUCUCAAACACCACCAACCCACCCAUGAAUAGAGAAAGAGAAGAGAACCCUAGCAAAAGUAGAGAGGUUCGAUUCUCAAAUCUUCAAUUUUCUUUUUAUGUGUUCAAGUCAUUUUUAUUUGUUAAAUGAUUCCAGCUACUACUUGGGUCUAGUAUUUCCUUGGUGUAUAUAUCAUGCACUUCUCAGUAGAAUGCCCAUAGACAUGGAGAAACAAUUUUUUAUUUAUUUGCAAUGCCUAAUAUAAAUUAAUAAGCACCUAAUUUUUUGUUUCAGCUAUGAAUGGUAUUUUUCUCUAGAUCAUAAGUACGUUGGUUGAAUUUUAAAAAAUUUAUACCAUUUCAGCGACUAAUUAAUAUCAUGCAAUAGAAAAACAAAGUUGAAAUUUGGGAUAAUAAAUAUCAUUAAAGUACAAAGAAAGUAACUUAUUGGGAGCAAAUUCUUCACAACCUGGCAUUCGCCUUUAGAUUAAAUAAUUUAUUAAUAAUCUCCUCUUUCUUUCUAAACUUAUACCGCUGUUUAUGAAAGUUUCUAAAAACCAAAGCCCAAAGCCUAGACUAUAAAAAGGAAAUAAUCACUUGGAGAGGGGUUGUUUGUUUUUCUUGAGAGCCUAAUAAAUGCAACGACAUAGACAGAAAGAGGCGGAAGAGUUGAGUCGGAGGAUCAAGAAACACAACCAUUCUUCUCUUUCAUUAGGGUUUUUGGCUGACUCUAAGGCCGUCUUACCUUCCUCUUAGAAUGAUGGCCUCUCGUUUCUAUACAUAUCCUUUCAUGCAUUUUCUGGCUCUCCCAUUCUCUUUUUCAAAGCUACGUCUUUCCUCAUAGACCCUGUUUGGUUUCUAAGAAAGUGGUCUAGGUCUCUUUCUUUUUCUUGAUUUAUCUUUUGGUUUACAAGAAUCAGCGACACAAUAAGACUGCCAUGAACGCAUGACGCAGCCACGUGGGAGAAGGCAGCAACCACUUUCGCAUUUUUACUAUGUAUCUCCAGAAACUCCUUUGUACAGCCCACACACGCGCUAAUGAAGCAGAUUCAGCAGAUUUUAAGAGGGGGAAUCUUGAAACCACACAACAUCAAGAGACUUGGCCGGAAGUGUGAUGAUGGGUGUUUCCGAAGAAGAGUUAUAAUUCGCCCACUGUUAAAUAUGGUCAUAGCCGUGAAGGGUCCCACGAGCCUUGAAUUUGUCACUACAUGCAAAAUAUAUGCAGAAGUGAUUGAAAAUGCAUGGCCACCUUUUCCUGCAUGUGAAUGUGUUGAGCUCUAUGGUGCAAUUACUAAUGGAAUUCUCAAUUUAGCUGAUAAGUAUUUUGAGAUGCAAAAGCAUGAUGCUGUCCGGGCAUCGGAAAUUUAUCAGAAAGCAGGAGAGCCAUCAAGCAUUCACUCGACAAGCAAGAGUAACACAUAGGCCACACCAUUCUCCAAAUAGACACAACAACAUACAUUCUUGAAGGCAAGUCCCUUUUUAAAAUUUUAUCUUAGUUUAAUUUUAAUUUAUUUAGUUAGUUUAGAUGUUUUUUUCAAAAUUAGUUUAAUUAAUUCUACAUGAUAAAGCUCUUAUUUUUCAUUUCGAUUUAGUUUAGUGUUGAUUUUUCUUUUAGUUUAAGUGUGUUUGCGAUUUUAAUUCAAUAGCUUAAUUAUUCUUAUUAGAUAAAGUUCAUAUAUAUAUAUAUAUAUAUAUAUAUAUAUAUAUUAUCCCAAAUUAGUUUAGUUUUAAUCUAUCUUUUAGUUUAAGUGUGUUAGUAAUUUUAAUUUAGUUGUUUAAAUAAUCAUGUGAGAUAAAGUUCAUGUUUUUAAUUCUAAUUAGUUUCAUCUUAAUUUAUUCUUUAGUUUAGAUUUGUUGUUGACAGUAAUUUACUAUUUUAAUUAAUCUUAUUAGAUAAAGUCUAAUUAAAAUUAGGUUAGUUUUAAUUUAUUCUAUAGUUUGAGUGUGUUUGCGAUUUUAAUUCAAUUGUUUAAUUAAUCCUCUUAGGUAAAGAUCUUGUUUUUAAUUCCGAUUUAGUUUAGUUUUAAUUUACUUAUUUAUUUAUUUUAGUUAAGAUGUGUUUGUAAUUUUAAUUCGACAAUUUAAUCGACCUUAUUAGAUAAAGUUGAUGUUUUUAAUUCCAAUUUAGUUUAAUUUUAAUUUAUUUUUUAGUUUAAAUGUGUCUGUGUGUUUAAUUGACCUUAUGCUAGCUCUUGAUUUGUUAUUCUCAAUUUAGGUGUUUUCUUGAAUCUUAGUCAUUAAUUCUUGGUGGAUAUCUCAUUAGUUUAUUUUAUCUAAGUCUUAAUAAUUUAUUAUUUCGAUAGUCUCUUGUCAAAUUUACUUUUCAGAGGCCAUCGGAAAAUAGUGAAGAUUGACCUCCAUUCUCACCACUUUAGUUUGUUUGGUUGUCAAAAUUUUUACUUUGUGAUUUUGUUUGCUUUUAUUUUGCUUGUUUCUUAUGUUUUGAUUGUUUUCAAAUUAAUUUCUUUUAUUUUAAAAUAAAAUAUUUUUCUCAAAAGAUCCAUUUGAAAAUUCUAUUUUAAAAAUCAUUCAUUUAGACUCCUUAGAAUCAAAAUCUCAUUUUUUAAUAAUAUGUAACCAUGUCUUGAUCGGUUUGUAUCUUUCACAGUUUUCAAUCAAAAUUCCGAUUUGGAAUGGAAUAUGAAUCCGAGCUUGUGGUCCCAAACAAAUGGGAUAAUUCUGGUCUAGAUUUGUGUAUAUCAAUUGAGGAAUUGGUGGAACCCCUACAUAAGAAAAUUCUUCAAAACUCAUCUUUGCAGCCACCUUUGCUAUUUCAUGAAAUCAUGUAUAUUUAUUAUUUAGGAAUUAUAUACAAGAUGUAUGUGAUAAUUGAUGAUUUCGUAUACUUUGAUCAUUUUUGCUAGGCUAAUUAGAUAACAAGCACAUUAGGAUUUUUUUUAUUUUAUUAUCUAACCCCUCAUGUCUUGUAGAAGCAUGUUACAAGUCAUCUAUCCUAAUAUAUAUUUUAUUAUAUAUUAGUUUUUUUUUUCUUUUUUUAAUCCUAUCUAUGUUGUUGAUAUUAAUGCAUUGAAUUUGAUGCUACCUAAAACAAAAUUAUAUUUCAUGUCCUCUAUUAUAAGUGGACAAUCAUUCCUUAUUUUAGAUUUUAGAUAAAGAACGAAUAAUGAAGAUUGGAGUUGUAAGAAAUUAGGAGAUCCUAAUUUUAAAUAUGUAACAAAGUUCUAUAAUCACUCCAGUACGUUUAAAAUUUGUAUUUCUUUCUAAUAUGGGAGCAAACUUUUUCCUUCUUUCUUAUAAUUUUCAUUUGGGAAUGAUUUAAAAAUAAAUAAAUAAAGGCCCUUCUAAAUAUUAAAAAAACACUCUCUUAUAAAAAUUAAUUAGGUGGAUGGUAAGGUCAAAUUCGGGAUAGCUUCAUAUUUUUUGCUUUAACUGAAAAUUAAAAUCAAAAUUAAAGUAAGAAUUUUUAAGAUGUUGUAAAAGUUUUAUUAAACAUGAAAGAACUUAUUGUGUAAACAAAAAUAGAACUAUAGAAUUUUUAUAAGAAAUAACAUUUUUAUGACUUCUAUAUGAAACCUUUUUUAAAAGUGAUAAGUUUUUUUUUUUAAAUAAUUAAAUAGGUAUAAAAACUUUUAUUCAACUUAAUUUUUUUUAACGGUUAAAAGUCAAUUCAAAUAAAAUUUAAAUAUAUUUGAAAAUCAUUUUUAAAAAUAAAAAAAAAAAACCACUUUUUUUUUAAUUUACAUUUAAUUCAUGAAAUUUCAUUUAUUGUUAUUUAUUUUCGGGAUUUAAUUCUUUGCAAUUGUUUUUGAGUGUUUAUAAAGUAUAAUUAGGUUAUGCCCAAAUUUAUUCCUUUAACUCUAUCCAUUAGAUAUAAGUAGCGUGAAAUUUUGGCCCAUCUCCACCUUUCUUCACUUCUGACAUUGUCAUGCACUACUUCAUCAACUCCAAACACAACCGCUGAGGAUCGAAGAAAAUGAGACAAUGGUCAAUAAAAUGAAAGUUUAAUCAUUUAAUCUUUUUUAGCACACCCCUCAUAACUGUCAGUGAUUUCCUGCCAACUUAACAUAUUGACAUGGACUUGGAGAGUUCGGUCAAUUGCAGCAGCUUGGUUAAUUGUAAGUGUCUUUUCUCUAAACCAUAAAUUCCUACGUUUUAAUUUACAAAAGCCAGUGAUUUUUUUUUACUUAAGGAAGCAGGAAAGGGUUUAAAAUAAGAGUUGAAAAGUAUGCCAAUUAUUUUAACUUUAAGAAAAAACGUUUAUUUUAAUUUAAAAUAAGUAAAUCAAAAGGAAUUGAUUUUAUCUCAAUUGUAUAAGAUUUUAUAAAAAUUAUCUUAUUUGCAAAAUAUUUUCAGAUGUAAAAGUAAAAAAUUAAACAAAUCAUUUGAUGAUCAUAGUCUAAUUUUAAAUUAUUAGAAUAAGUCAAUCCUCUAAACUAUAUCAUUUAUAAUUUUUUUGAUUAUUAAUAUGAUACGUAACCUUCCACGGAAUUGGAAUAAAAUAUGGAUAAUUAAAAAAUGUCAACUAUCCCAUUUCAAACUUUUCUAAUAUAGCAUGAUAUUUUAACAUGAUGAAUGAAAUGGGAAUGACCAAAAAUUGUAAAAUCAAAGAUAUAUCUAUUGUGGACAUGGCAUUCGGAGGCUUCUUAACAUUGUAUUGGUCUACUUAAUGAGUUGAAACAGGAACACAACACCAAAUUCUCUUUUUAUAAUCAAAGACUUCCAUGGAAAAUUCCACCAUAUCAUAUCUCAAAGAUUAGUCAAAUUCCAUUAUCUUUAUAGACUUUUAACAAUCCAAGAAAUUGACAUUAAUAAUCCCAUACACAAUAUUCUACAACUUUACAUUAUCUUGAUUGAAGAUAAUCAUAUUAUUUCAUUAACAAUUCAAGAAAUUCCAUUAUCAAUCAAAAAAUAAAUCAUGAAAGCUAAAUAAUACAAAUAUUCAAUGAAAUCUUUGGCGUGUUAUUUCUUUACAGCUUCAACAUGGUGGCAUGUCCGACGGAGGAGGCAGCAUUUGAGCUUCCGGGUGUUUACCAUUUUUCAUUAUGAACGCAGUUUCCAUGCCCCAAGUCAGAUGGCGUUCUACAUGGCAGUGCAUGAACCACACUCCUGCAACAGAGAAAAUAUACCAACAUUACACCUAACUUAAUUGUAAUAUUAAGAAAAAUUAUUUCCUUGGUAUGCAGGUUAGCAGUUUCAAGGGUUUUUAUUUUUUAUUUUUAAUAGACGACAUGAGUGCUUGGAACAUACCAGGGUUGGAUGCCUCAAAUCUGAUUGCAACCCAACCAUUCGAAGGAACGGAGAUGGUAUUCUGAAAGGGAGGAUCCACCAAAUUAUAGCGUAAAGGGUCCUUAUUUCCAUCGAAAUUCCCAAAUCCCCAUCCAACAACAUAGAAACUGUAUCCAUGGAGAUGCAUGGGGUGGUGUGUUGCUGCAAGCACGUUUGUCCCUUGAAAAACAAUCUCCACUGUGGAGUUAUACUCGAGCACCCUUACUUCUGUUCCGCUGCUUGGCAACUGAUAGAUUAAUGGAAGAUAAUCAGCUGUAAAAUCGAACACCAGUGGUAGAUCGCUAGGAAAUUUAUCUCCAUAAACACCACUGAUGUUAUAAUAGUAAGCUUGUAGUAUGUCAACUGUAGGGGUAUCGAAGCUUAUGUUGUUUAUACUUGAGGAGAACCGCGUCCCAUUGGCCCCUGCACAUGAAUUAUUGACGCAUGGGUACGAGUUUACAGAAACAGUGUAAAUCAGGUUAGUGCUUGUGCUCAAUGGGACAUUGCAAGGAUGUUCCGCAUCUACUAAGCUUCGAAGGCCGGCCAUGACCUGAACCGACGCAUUUGUGUCAUUGUAUGCAGGAAGAAGAGGGAAGGAUGGAGGCGAAGAUGGAGUGUAGUAUCCGUUGUACUGUACAAUAGCUGUGGUGGUUGUGUUAUCAUAAAAAUCUUGAUAUUUCGGGGCAACAGAAUAAGUUAUAGCUGCCAUGUAAUAGUGAUCCGGGCGUUGGUUAGCUUCUAGUAAGACAUCGUAGGUUUGGCCAGGAAAUAUUGUGAUAAAAUCUCGUGUCAAUGGUUUCGUGUAGCUACCAUCUGUUCCAACCACUGUCAUUUUAUGCUUGGCAAUGGAGAAGAAGAGAGCCUCUUGUAAGGCAGCAUUGAUUAUGCGAAGUAGAUAGGUCUUUCCAUGAUCCACUGUUAGCUUGAAUGUGUCUGCAAUUAGAAAGGGAAAGUUGUAUACUUAUGACUAGCCAAAAAAAAAACAAAAAGUUUCCAUGAGGAUCCACCAAUUAUGAAGUGAUUGAUUGAUUAGGUGUGUAAAUUUGGCUGCAUAGUUCAAAAUUAUAUUUGGACUAGCCUUUUUUUUGUGUGUUAAAUCAUGGCUCUACCAUCCUUAUAGCUAUAUUCCUCUUUCUUAGCAUUAACCUUUAAAUAUGUUGAUGUUAAUAAGAAAAAGUACUAGGGUUAACAUACAAGAAAAUGAAAUCAUGUACAAUUUUAAAACGGGAAGUUAAACUUUGUACCUGAUUUUGAGCAUGGAUAUAGAUCACCGGGUUGUCCAUUUAUCAAUAAAGCAUCAGAGGGGUCAGGGUCACCUCCGGUUGCAAGCCCUUCAUCUCGAACCGCAUUCACAUCAUUCUUCCACCAUUCUCCUGCAUUUCAACAACUUCAAUAAUUUUAGAUUUUGCUUUGUUGUUUAAUUCUUAAUAUGUAAAUUAACCUUUAAAAGUAACAACACUUAUACCUAAUAUGAUGGGGACCUCUCUGUCAGGCUUGUGAAAAGGAUACUUGGUUCCAUUCUUGGGAUAGAUGAUUAUAGCUCCAUGAACAGUGGCUCGGGUCCAGUCACUGUGAGCAUGCCACCAUAGAGUGCCUUCUUCAGUGGAAAGGAUGAUCUUCUGGGUAAACUUUGACCCUGGCUGAAUUGGGCAUUGUGUGAUAUACUCAGGACCAUCUGUCCAUGGAUAUCUAGGCAUGGUCACCCCAUGCCUGCGAAACCAUAACUAUACGUUAAAACUAGUACUAAUUUUCAAAGUAACAAAAGAUGGCAUGCAACAACAUAUUAUCAUAGUAACAAGAGGCAUCAACUGUAUUUCAAUGAAACUGAAGCAAAUAACCCUAAAGUAUUAUUUUAAAUUUGACUUUAUUUUCAAAGUAAUAUAUUGGAGCCCCCUCUUAGAAAUAAAAGAAUGUAUGCCAUGUUGGCAUGCUGCCACUGCUCUUUCUCUGAGACACGCAUAGGACCUACCAGUGAAUGGUAACGUUUUCGUUUCCCUUGUUAUAAACGUCGACAAUGAUCGUCUCUCCUUUCGUAGCAUAUAUGGUUGGUCCCGGAAAUUUUCCAUUUACUGUUAAGAUGUUCUUGGCACUACAAAGCCUUGUAUAUGAAGCUUCCCUCACCUGCAAUCAAUUAAAAGUUAACCAUGCAACCUCAUCCCAAAAGAAAUAUUACAUGCAUGAAUAGUUGCAUCGAUCCAUUCACGUAAGUGUAUAACCAAUUAGAAAUUGAUAGCAUGCAUGAACGACUCAAUGACACCAAGGUAAUAGAUCAUACGGUAUGAAAUGAGAGCCAUACUACUCCUUAAAUAUCAUGAUUAGAAGGUGGCGUUAAGGCCAGAAUCAUAUAUAGUAUUUACCACAAAAGUAAGCCGACGGGUUGAAGCUUGGCAAUGGAUGCCACCACCAAAAACUAGAAACGCUAAAAUUUGCAGGAGGAAAACCUUCAUGAUCAGCCACAUUUUCCUUGGAAUAAAAGCCUCUUCUCUUCUCUUGCCCUAAACACAACUCCUUCAAUUCUCUUACUACUUUUGAUGUAUUUCUUUCACAUGUGAUUCAUUAUAUAGGCAUGGUAAUUCUCUCGGGAUACAAUACUUCCUCUCCACGUGUCAAUAUAAGAGGAAGUGAUUUGAAUGUGUAUUGGUUUUUAAUGUUCUUUCAGGACGACUUCAAAAUAAUUAAUUAUGAUAUUUCUUACAAGUUACCUACGCGUUCUUUUAGAAUAAAUUUAAAAUAUUCUUUCACAAGUCUUUUAUUGAUUAUUUCAACAAAUGUUAAUUAAUUAAAUAUAUGUAGGAUGCUUUUAAAACUUUGACCUCCCUAUGAGUAGCCUUCUGAAGAUCGUUGGUGGCAAAGUUGUUUUCGUAUAGUUAAUACAAUUUGUCAUCGUCGUUGUUUUCGUUUGAAUGGGACAAAGUUGUUUCCAAUUUUUUUUAAAACUUGGGAAUUGAGAUUAUAAAAGACAAAGUUGUUAAUACAACUUCAGAAUCGAUGAUAAACUAAUUCGGUAUUUCAGAAUUUUCCAUAAAAAAACACAAAAAUAUAUUUUGUAAAAAGUUGAAAAUAGGAUACAAACAACCCCUUGUAGUAUUUUUUUUUUUCUCAACAAAAACCAAUUUAAUAACAAUAAUAAUAAAUAAUUAUAGAUUUAAAAGAUAAUCUGAAAUUUCUUUCAAUAUAUAAGCCUUGUACGUGAUGUUGGUUGACUAUUAUGAUAGUAAAUUCGGGAGGAUGCUUGCAUGUAAAAAUUUUAUUUUAUUUUAUUUUUAAUCAUGGAGCACAUUUUGAUAGAUUCUGAUUUAUAAUACUGCAUCAAUGGUCAUGAACAUUGCAAUCAUGAUUUUUUUUGAGAUGUUUAAAUGGACGUGAAAGAUAAGAAAUAGAUUUUCUAUUAAGAUAUUUGAAUGGAGAUGAAAGCAUGGGUAUAGGUUUGUACUAAGGAAAUGAACAUAUGAUUAAAAUAAACCUGAUACAGUUAGUCUAUAAGAAUGGAUCCUGUUUCUAACCUUUUAACACACAAAUUUGGAAACCUAAACCUCUGGAUUGUUUCUUUCCUAUAAUGGAAUCCUAUAUUCCUUCUCAAAGCAGCGCUGACUUUUCCCUUCCUACCAAAUACGAAGAGAAAAUCUUGACUAAUCUUGAUAAAGUUUUAAAAGUAUUCUACAUAUGUUUUAAAUUUAUUCUAAAAUAAUGUGUUUGAUUAAUUUCUUGGUCAAUUCUCAAAGUCAAACUUGUAUUUUGAAUUAGAAAAUUCAAGAGAUUCUAAGAAACUCAUCUUCUAGGAUACACAACCUGAUUGAAGCUGAGCUGUGAGAAAUUUUCACAAUUGUUAGCAUUCUUCAGGCAUUUGGUUUAUUUAAAUUUUGGUAAGUAAUCAAAUAUCAUACACAACCUGCUCUUUGAAGUGGUCCUGGAAGAACAUUCAAAACCAAUACACAUUCAAAUUACUUCGCUUAUAUUGAUACGCGGCGAGGAAUUGUUGAUACCCAAGCCACAUGUGAUCUGAUUUAAUGUAGCUGCCACAAAGUUGCUACUUUCAUUCUCAGACAGUCUGAAGCAAUUAGAAAAUGUGAAUCGGAGGCCCCCACAUUCCUUGGAUCUGUAGACACUUGAUGGACACAAAAUGUUUUCCAUAACUGUGCAAUCAUGGGCAUCUAUUUCUUCUAUACUUGAUGGAAGCUCUGGUAAUGAUUGAAGCCUCUUGCAAUAACCCAACCUAAGGCCUUUGAGCUGUGAAAGUUGAUUGAGGCUUGCAGGUAGAUUAACAAAAUUGUUUCUGCUCAGAUCUAAAUAUUCCAAUGAGCACAGAGAGCUAAAGUCAUUGGGAAUUGGUCCUUCCAAUAUGCGGCAAUCACUUAGAUUUAACUUUCUUAGGGAUCUUAAACCAAAGAAAGAUGCAGUUGCAAACGCCUAGAGCGUGGAAUUUCUGCAGGCAACAACUGGAAAGAGAGGAGCAAAUUCCUUGGCUUGGAUUCUAGUCCUUUACAUCCCUCAAAUGAUAAUACUUCAAGGUUUUCUGAAAGAGAAAUAGAGGGCGGCAGCUCUUUUACAGAGUUCCAGCUGCUCCGAGCUUCUCUAAACCUUGUAGGCUCCCCGAACCUCUGGCAAAUUGUCUAGUUUUGAGCAACCAGAUGGAAUAAGAGUUUGAAGAGAUUUCAACUUACAAAUGCUAUGUGGAAGAAUUGCAAGGCUUUUGCAUUCUCUCAGAUUCAACAGAACAAGUCCACUUAGAUGUUGGAUAGGUGAAGUUAGCUCUUUUAGAGCAGUUCCAUCUAAGAAAAGUUCCAACAAACUCCCCAUAUUUUCCAAGACUUCUGGAAGCUCUUUUGAGUUUUAAGCAAUCUGAGAGAAUAAGAAUUUCAAGGGAUCUCAACCUAUAAAUACAGCUUGGUAAUGACUCAGGGUUUUGACAGUUCCUCAGAUUUAAUAAAACAGGUCCAGUCAGAUAUUCAAUCGACAAGGGCAAUCCUUUUACUGCAGUGCCCUCCAAGGAAAGCUCUGAUAAAUGUUUCAUGCACCCUUGGACCUCUGGAAACUUCUUGAGUUUCGAGCACCCGGAGAGAGUAAGAAUUUUGAAGAGAUUCCAUACAGAUGCUUCUUAGAAAACUCUUAAGAUUCUCGCAGCCUUCUAAAUUAAGGAAAACAAGCUUGUUUAGAUCUCCAGUGGAUGGGUGAACCUUGGACAAACUUGUACAACCUUCAAGAAUUAGUCUCCUAAGGUUUGGGGCCCCCGAGAAGUCUGGGGUUUCAAUCAGGUGUUGGGAGUAGCUAAGUUUUACGAAUUUCAAUUGCUGAUACAUCUGUCAAAAACAAAACAGAAAAAAUGAUUAUAAUUCGUUUAAAGUGAAAGACGAAACUUGCAAAGAUUAUAAUCAUAUACCUUGAGUCCUUUCCAAAGUUGUUCAACUCGACUGUAACUCAUAUUUAGCUCGACAAGCUGCUCAGGAUGAAAAUUUAAUGGGAGGGAUUUCAGAGGGUAUCCAUGCCAAUAUAGACAUCUUAAGUUGUUCGAUAGAGAUUUGAAGUCUCCAGAAAGAAGCAAUUUACAGUCUUUGAAUUGAUUGAGCUUAUUCAUCCUUGUGCAAGCAUCAGCCAGCACAUAACUGUUUCCAAGAAAAAUAUUCAAAGCUUCCACAUAGCCGCACGUUACAGACUUUGAGCAAUCUUAAUUUGUUCAUCUUCAUGAAGGCAUCAAAACUGAAGUGUAGUUCCUUUGAUGCUGACAAGUCAAGGACUAUGCCUUCAACUACUUCAGUUCCUUGCAAUUAACCAGGAACAGAGUAUGGAUUGGAAAUUAAAAUCACAAAAUUCUAAAAGGAAAAGCACAGAAAGCAUCAAACUAAUGACUUGUUUUCUUGUUUUUUUAGGCAGUGUUCUAGGAAGCAAGUAUGAAGAUAAAAGAAAAUGCAUCUACUAAGACAGAAACUCAGGGAAAAGUUAGCAAAGGAUUCAAAUCAAAUCAUUCCCCCAGCUUUAUAUCUGCCUUUGCAUACAUAAAUAUGCAAUACCUUAUUAAAAUUGUACAUAUAUGUGAGUUUCUCAAAUAAGUUGAAAUUAUUCAAACUUCCUCUUCACCUAUAGAGCUUAUAUAUACAAAAAGGGAACACACACACAAAGUUCAUGUAUUUAGGUCUUACUAUGUUUCUAGUUAAUGCAUCACUAACAUCUUCAUGAAUCCACAAUCUGCUGUGUUUUCCAGGAUAUUUAAGAGAUUCUUGCCAAACAAUUUCCCAACCCAUUUCUUGUAACAAAUCAUGCAUGCACAACUUAUUAUCUGAAACAAUUAUGAGUGACUUAUCAACGAGAACCCUUAUUCCAAUAUCCGGAAAGAAACCACAACUCUCUAGUAUUUCUGUGACAAAAUCUUUGUCCUCCCAUUUUCAAAAGCAUGCAAUAUCGAGAAAUAUAUCUCUUUGUCAUCUAAUCCAUCAAAACCCAUUUUAAGCACGUUCUGAAUUUCCAUGUUGCUAAUUCUUUUUAGUUUGUCCAAUUCACUUUUCCAUUCAAGUAUGCUCUUGCUAUACAAAAAAGCACCUAAGACUUCAAGAGCUAAGGGAAGACCCUUACUAUAAUGUAUUACAUCAUAGCAUAGCUGCAUAUAAUCUUCUCCAGGGUGGUUAUGUUUAAAGGCAUACUGACGAAAGAGUUGAAAAGCUUCACUAUCCUCUAAUCCCCUAACUUCAUAAAUUGCACUGACUCCAUGUGUAACAAGCAAAUGCUUUUCUCUGCUUGUUAUAAUAAUUCUACUUCCUGAACCAAACCAAUCAUGGUUUCCUGCUUAAUAUUCUAACUGUUCCAAGUUAUCCACAUCAUCAAGAACAAUAAGAACCUUCUUAGAGUGGAGCCUAUCCUUUACAAAAUUGAUUCUUGUAUUGGAAAUUCCUACAUUUGGAUUUCCAUCCUUCAAUGUCUUUGAGAGAAGUUCCACUUGUAAAUGAUCUAGAACACAUUUUUGUGAGCCUUCUCUAACACUUGUAAAUGAUCCAAUAAUUGGUUCAAACAGUUCAAAAUUGGUCCAAUAAAUAUACCCUUCAAAAGGAGAAAUUGAACCAGAAAUGUCGCUUGGUGGUUGGAUCAAUUAGACCAACUGAUUUGUUUCAAUUUUCAAAAAAUAUUGCUUUAACAUGUAUGAUAAUCAAAAUAUAGGAAAAAAAACUAUUUACUAAGAAAUGAGAUUAUUAUAACAAAAUAGAAAAUGUAAUCUAUUUUAAUGAUAUGAUGACUUGUAACUAGAUGAAACUUUGACCAGCAAAGAAAAACAAACAAAUCUUGAGGAAUUAGAAAAUAUUAUCUUUUAUAUUAAACUUAUCUUUGUGUAAAAGCUCUCUACAAUUAACUAUGGGUUUUCAUAAAGCUUUAUUUAGGCUAUGUUACAUUCUUGGAAAUUAAAAAAAAAAAAAUGUAAGAAAUUAAUAAAUUAUUUUUUUCAUUAAUAUAAAUUAAAUAAUUAAAAUACCUAAAUUUUUCAAAAUUGUUAAUCAUGGUAGUGGGCCUUUGAUCAGCCAAAGAUAGCCCAUGCAUCAUUUGCCAAAAUUGUUAAUCAUAGUAGUGGGCCUUUGAUCAGCCAAAGAUAGCCCAUGCAUCAUUUGCCAAAGUGAAGCACAACAACCUUAUAAUAGGGAUGUCACAUAGUAAUUCAUUAUUCAUUAUUUUGUUUUCCCUUUUCAAUGUGGAUUUUCUUAAAGCUAUUAAAAAAUCACAUAAUAUCAAGAUUUGAGCAUGGGUCUUUCACAAUAUCUUUUAUAUACUAAUAAUUAUAAAUUAAUUAAAAUGAAAGAAUUAUAAAUAAGUUAAUUUUAAUUAUCUUAUUAUGUCUCUUAUACAAUGAUUUAAUAUAGGACAAAUAUAAAUUUAUAAAUAAAAUUAUUAACAUUUUCAAAUAAAAAAUAUAAAUAUAUAUCAAUAUAUUUUUUAUAUCCUUCAAUAUAUCUAAACUUAAUGCAUUAUCAUUUUAGUAUUAAUGUUUCCCAAUUCGGUAUAUUAUUAUCUAAUAUUACAAAUUUUUUAUACAUUUAUCAAUUUUUCUUAAAACAAUAUCAAUAUAUACAUCAUUAUUUUUCUAUCAUUUUUUGAGUUAUUUCCAACAUUUCAUGAGGUUUUAUCGAUUUCCAUCUCAUAUAUAUAUAUAUAUUUCAGAAUUUUCAUUGAUAUUUGUUUAUAUAUCUAUAAACUAGAACUAAUGAUAUAUCAGUAAAAAUCAAUAUUUUCAUUCUUAUUUAACAUAAGAAAGAAAAUUAUUCAAAUGGUGCAUAAAUUAAUGUGAUCUCCUGAUGAGAAUGACAACAACAACCAUGAGUCAUAGUUAGUGUAUGUGUGUGGUAAAUUAACUUAGUGUUUGAUAAAAUAAUUAUUUAUCAUCAUUUAAAAUUUAAAAAUAAAUUUAAAUAUUAAAUCAAAAUAAUUAACUUAUUCUAAAUACUAAAUUUUUUUAUUCUCUUUGUUCAUAUUUGGUGAUAACCAUGCUUUAUUUUUAGAAUUCUUUUUUUUAGUAAAUAUUUUUUAGUUAUUUUGUAGCUUCACAAUAGUACUUUUUAAUAUAAAUGUUUAACAAGCUUAAGUUUAUGAAGAUAAUUAUUAAGAAAAAUUAAUGAGUUUAAAUAUAUCAAUAUAAUAACUUUAAAAAAAUUAAGUUGAUUUUACCAAAAUUAAAGUAAAAAUAAUUCAUCUUAAAAUUAAUUUCAAUAAUUCGGUAAUAAGGAUUAAGUUGUAUCAUAUACUCUCUUAAUUAAAAAAUGACAUAACUUCUUUCAACAACUUCUUCAUUCUACUUUUGAAAAAAUAAGAUAAAUUAAAUUAAAAAUUAAAGUGAUAUUUAUUUAUUUAUUUAUGUCUAAAAUUUAAUGUACUUGAAUUUGACUUAAAUCUAACUAUAACUUAAUAUCAUUAAGUGUCUAGACUCUUUUUUUUUAUUAGUGUCUAAAUAUUAUUAACCGUUAAAUUGUUUAUUUUUAUUAAUAUCAAAAUAUGUGAAGUGUUAAAUUUAUUUAUUUUUGGUUAAAAACAUUUACAAAAGUAAUUGUUAUAUUUCUUCUUAUUUUAAUUUGAAAAGUUAUAAUUUAACAAAAUAGUAAUUUAAUUAACACAUCUAAAAAUAUUAUAAUACAUUAUCAAAGUAAAAAUUUUAUAAUGAUAAUUAUGUAAUUAGUAAAUAAUAUUAUUGUACAAUCCAUUGUUCCAUGUCGUAUAUUAUAGCAUAGUUGUGCAUACCCAUCAGUGCAUAGACAUAUCUUUUGAUAAUCUAUCAUGAAUGUCUCGUGGACUCUACAGGAAGUAUGUAGCUAUUAUAGUAUAAAGAUGGCGUAGGAAGAGGCUCCAGGUUUAGUAGUUCACACUCAACCAUAGCAAUAGGGAAUAUAUUGCACAUUAUUUCCAUCUAAAAGAAAGAUAGAAAAGACCUUAUAAAUGGAACUUUUAGAUAAAAACUAAGGGUCACAAUGAGAUGACUCUAAGAAGGAUCACCUCAAUCUCAAUCUUAUGUCAUUUAUUUAUAUUAAAUGGGGUGAGAUAAGACAAAAUUAUAUUCGAACCUGUCCUGAACUUGGUCUGAGGCCAAGAAGGGUCUCUAAAAUAAUAAGCCUCAUUGUCAUUCUUAGGUACACAUCUAUACCAAUGAAAGUUUUUACAUCUAUUAAAAAAUUCAAUGUUCCCGAUGUUAAUUAACUUCACUAGACUACAUACACUUAAAAUGCAUGAAAAAAUGUCAAAAUUCUCAACCAAUUAAUGACAUAAACUAAAAUCAAGUUUAGUACAUCAUAACCCUAAAAUACCUCCAAACCCCAUUUCUUGUAAGACCCCCUUCUGAUUAGGUUGCAAAUGUUGAAGUACUUUAUACACUUAAUUAGGUGAACAACAAGUGUCAAGAUAAGACUUCAAGCCAUACAUAUACAUAUGCAUAUAUAUUUAAAAUUGAAAGAAAAUAUUAUCAAAUUUUAAAAAGAUAAAUUUCAAAUUUUUUUUUUACCUUUGAUACAUUUUUUGAGCUUGUACCCUUUUGUUUUACAUAUUCAUUGGAGCAUUUCUUUGACUUCCCAAAGAACUUUUUUUUUUCUAGGACUAAAAACUUUUUUCCUUAAUCGACUUGGGAUAUUAUAUACACCCACAACCUAACUUAGUAGUUUUAAAAUUAAUUGGUUAAAAAGAAUGAAAUAAUCCCAAAAUUUGUAAAUAUAACAAGAUUGUGUUUUUACUUGAAAAGUAGCCCAUUUUGACAUAAAUGUCUUUCGCCAUUUCAAUUAUUUACAUUUAAAUUUAAAAAAAAAGUUAUGACAUUUUUGUCAAAAGAAGGACACAAAAAGAUCAAAAGUUAAAUUUCCAGAUUUAGUUUUUUAAUAGAUAUUUUAAUAAAAUAAACCUUAGUUUUAUAUCACAUAAUGUUUCUUCUUUAUUGUUCUUUAAUCCCUUUUAUUUAUUUAUUUAUUUUAUCAUACACGACCUAUUAAAUUUGAAAAUUUUAACAAUUUCUUGCAGUGCAUGCCUACGUGCUUAUCACAUGAGCUUCUCCAUCUAUACUAGCUAGGGAUCCAUUUGAUAAUUUCUUUUAGUGUCCACAUGCUUAUCACAUGGACCUCUUCACUUCUAUUAAUAGGGGUCCAUUUGGUAUUUCAAAAUAGUUCAAGGGCUUUGCUUAAGAAAAGCUUAGAGACUAGUUCGAAACAAUGUUUUUAGAACCCAACUAGUUAUUGAAUAAAAAAAGUUAUUGAUUCAUUGUCUAGUGGUCAAAUUAAUGUUUGAACUGCAGUCAAAUUGGUGACAUCAUAAAUAUAUAAAUUAUAUAUUAAAAAAAAUUAUAAAAUUAUAAAACUUAUUUUUCAUCUUUGACAUUUCCAAACUUAAAUCAUGAAUAAAUAUAAAUAUAUUAAUAUUUUAAAUUUUAUAAAUAAAAUUUGUGUAACAUUCAUAUGUAAAGAAAUAUAUUUAAAUAGAAUAAAAUUCUUUUGUUCAUAAUUUAUUUUACUUAUAUUAUAUUAUUUAGUUGUAUUACAAAAUUUAAAAUAAUUAUGUUAAUUUAGGUUUAGUUUGCAUUUUUUAAAUUAUAAUCAUUAAUAACAAAGUGGUGAUAGCCUAAACAUGAUCUAAAGGUCCAUGGUUCAAACCCUUGGUUCCUCAUCAUUUUCCUGGUCUCAUUAGGUGGGCUAGGCUUGGUAUGCGAAGGGCUAACCUUCCACCCAUGAUCCAACCUUUUAGUUGAUGAAAAAAGAAGGCUAACCUAGAAUCGAUAGACCAUGGUUCAAAGUUGUGGUUGCGGUCACUAACUUGGAGGGUCUUGCGGCACAUUGGUCUUGACAUCUUAGCUUGAUAUUAGAUGAUAUGUAAAAUAAGAUAAAUAAAAAUUAUAAAAUUAUAAAAUAUUAUAAUAAAUAUUUAAAAAAUAAAUAUAAUUAAAUAAACUUAAAAUUUAAUAAAAUAAAAUAUUAUGAAAAUUAAAAUUGUUCAAUAAAUUUUUAAUAUUGAAAUUGAAAACAAAAACUCUUUAAUUACCAAACUCAAAUUAAAAAAUAAAAUAAAAUGUGAUGAUUUUUACCACACAUUAGCAUUUAAAAAUUGAAACAAUAAAAUAACAUAUAUUAUUGAUACUAUCAUUUAAAACAACAAAUAUAUUGUUGAUAAUGGCAUUUAAAACUAUAAAAUAGUGCAUUAGACCUGCAUUCAAAUCUUCAAUUCUCAAACACCACCAACCCACCCAUGAAUAGAGAAAGAGAAGAGAACCCUAGCAAAAGUAGAGAGCUUCAAUUCUCAAAUCUUCAAUUUUCUUUUUAUGUGUUCAAGUGAUUUUUAUUUGUUAAAUGAUUCCAGCUACUACUUGGGUCUAGUAUUUCCUUGGUGUAUAUAUCAUGCACUUCUCAGUAGAAAGCCCAUAGACUAAUAUAAAGGAGAAACAAGUUUUUAUUUAUUUGCAAUGCCUAAUAUAAAAUUUAAUAAGCACCUAAUUUUUUAUUUCAGCUAUGAAUGAUAUUUUUCUCUAGAUCAUAAGUACGUUGGUUGAAUUAAAAAAAAUUUAUACCAUUUCAGCCACUAAUUAAUAUCAUGCAAUAGAAAAACAAAAUUGAAAUUUGGGAUAAUAAAUAUCAUUAAAGUACAAAGAAAGUAACUUAUUGGGAGCAAAUUCUUCACAACCUGGCAUUCGCCUUUAGAUUGAAUAAUUUAUUAAUAAUCUCCUCUUUCUUUCUAAACUUCACCGCUGUUUAUGAAAGUUUCUAAAAACCAAAGCCCAAAGCCUAGACUAUAAAAAGGAAACAAUCACUUGGAGAGGGGUUGUUUGUUUUUCUUGGGAGCCUAAUAAAUGCAACGGCAUAGACAGAAAGAGGCGGAAGAGUUGAGUCGGAGGAUCAAGAAACACAACCAUUCUUCUCUUUCAUUUCUAUACAUAUCCUUCCAUGCAUUCUCUGGCUCUCCCAUUCUCUUUUUCAAAGCUACAUCUUUCCUCAUAGACCCUGUUUGGUUUCUAAGAAAGUGGUCUAGGUCUCUUUCUUUUUCUUGAUUUAUCUUUGGUUUACAAGAAUCAGGAGUGAAGUAAAGUGGGCUCUUGAUUUAUGUUUGAUUUUUCUUAUUCAAACCUAUGUUUUGAUCUUUUCUCUCCAGCUCUUGUGGUCUAGGUCUAAUAUGCGUUGUGUUUUCUUUCUUUUUUCUUGGUUUUUGUUUGGUUUUCCAAGAAAGUGAAGGAAAAGGAACUCUUUACUCUCUUGGCAUAUUCCACUUAGGAUUGUCCUCCUACAUCCUUUGAUGCUUUAGUGUUUGGUCAUUAGUUGUUUUUAAGCCCUUAUUGAUGGUCCAUUAAGACAUUUUAAAGGGAUUAGGCGGAUCCCUAUCUUGAUUUUAGUGAUUUUUGAAUCUUAGUUUUAAUUGAUUUAUAACAUAUUUAGGCUUGUUUAGAACUUUUAAAAUUCAUAAUUUUGAAUGUGCCAAAUACCCCCUUCCAUCAAUUCCAACUGCAGCAACUGCCAUUCAAAGAUGCUAGCCACAUAUUAAACCCAUGCAUGAACCCCCAGCCAGAUACCCAUUUUUUCCUCCAUCCAUCAACCACCUUCUUACUCCCACCACCGCCACUGCUCACCAUUCCCACUUCUCCUCCACCACCAUGGCCACCACCGCUUCUGGCUCUGUCUUCCUCCUUCUGCUCCUUGCUGCCAGCGCUGCCGUUGAUGGCAGAGUCAUAAGCAACCGCACAUCGUCCACCGGCCUAGUCUCUGACGGCGUCCACGACCACCGCAAUGGUUUGCCUUAUCUUCUUCUCAGGUCUUUUUCGGCCGUUUCAGCCUCGGAUUCAUGUGAUCAUAUAGUAAACCCAAAUGGAAAUCAAACCUUCACAACCCGCUCACCUUUCCGAUGCCCGUGAUGAUCAAGUCUGGCACUCGAAAGAGAGAGGACAACUGGGUCAUCUCCCUCUUCGUGAUCCUCCACAUUGGGCCCUUCUUGCAUCGCCUUGGAUUUGAAACUGACCGGUUUAGAACCAUAACUCCUGCACGCGAGAGAGAUCACCAUAAGCCAUGCAAGGGAGCAUGCCAGUCACGUUCUCUAACUGCCAUGCAUCCGGUGAAGCGGUUUUGCGAGGAGAAGCCUCCAGAAGAGAAUCUUUUCGGUUGCGGGAAUAUAAAGAUCACGCCAGAAAGAAUAAAGAGGGCUGUUCUAGAGACUUCGGAGGAGGAGAGAGGAAAGGAAAACUGACAUAGAGAGUCUCUGUUUCUGGGCGUUUUUUGGAAGAGAGUUCAAAGAUCUUCUUUCUGUAGAAGAUCAUCACAUGCACCGAUUCAAAGAAUUUAGAGAACUUCUCGUUAGAGUCAAGGUUCUCAUCAUUCUAGACCUUCAUGAACAUCUUCUUCACGGCGGCAUUGGCAUCCCGAUUCCUGAACCUCCAUGAUUGAUUGAUCUCCAUCAUCUUCACGAUCGUGCACAAGUUCUGAAAGUAGAGACGUGAAUCUCUUCAUCGUCUUCACUCUCUAUACUUGUAUCUCGAAGGUUAUCCCGGUUUCUAUGUGCAUCGGAUCUCCAUAGGAAAAAUUAGAGAAUGAAUAGAGGUUGACUGUCAGCCCCUUAGACCCUUGACUUAACCAUGGAGGAAUAGGCCUCAUGGGUAGGCCUUGCACCCAUGAAAGCCUAGGAUGAAAGCAGGGAAAUCCUGGAGGUUUGGUGGUUCAAACUCUAGGAGGCAUGUGAGGAGGCCGCAGGUGAGCCAGACAAGCACUGCGCGCGCAUCGCGGGCGAGGCAGACACGCACCACGCGCACACAGUGGGCAAGCCAGACGCGCACCGCGCGCGCACAGUGGGCGAGCUAGACGCGCACCGCAUGCACACCACAGGCGAGCCAGACAUGCACCGCGUGUGCACCAGAUGGGCAUCGCGCGCGCAUCUGACUUAGGUGGUGCAGAUGAAGGCUGAGGGACUUGGAAUUUUAAUUUAUAAUUAAAAUUAUUAUUCCAUUAUGCCUUCUCAGACAUAUUGAUGUCUCCUCAAGAAACAAUGAAAAUGGCUCGUAUUGCUCUUUAAGGGGGGGGGUAGGUGACUCAAAGGAGGGAGCCACCAAGAGAAGCCUUGACCGCACCAAGGGGGCACCAUGGCAUGGCCUUGGGCGUGCCUAAGACACACGACAUGACUCGAGCACGCACACAUGGGCUCCACGACAUGUGUGGUGUGCACCCCAUGGCCGCAACGGCACGGGGCCUGGUGCGGCCUGACCCCUCCCCGUGCAGGCACGAGGGAACCUAAGCCUUGUGCGGUAAGCCAGUUAAUGAAACCAUGGGCACAAUGCCAUGGUCUGAUGGCUCCAAUAGCUGACUCGCAUCAAGAUGCCUACGCAAAGCACAGGGUGCAAUGCCCUGUGCACCAAGAGGGAUCAGUCAUGGGCGCAAUGCCAUGGCUCGUUGCUUGGAAGCUGGGAAGCAAGCAACAAGCCCAAGCCAUGGGCACCUAGACAUGGCAUGGGUUCAUUCAUUAGUGUGGGGAAGGCACACUGAUGCACUAGACGCUUGGUCAAAUGGGUGGAGCACGUUGCCUGGCUUAGAGGGCCUUGAUCAAAGACAUGCUGAUGGGCACCUGGUCACAAGAGGCACCUUACGGGGGAGGGGUCAGCUUGUUAGGGGGACUCACCAGUAGCUUGGCGAGCAAGACCUGAGGAGAUGGCAGUGCAGCUAGCUAGUGGCAGCUAGCUCAGUGACCAAGUCAAGCCGUCAUUUGAACUGCAGUUGGCUGAGGGAUGAUGGCUGGUGCAAGUGGGUGGCAUGUGCAGGCCACUAUCUAGGUGGUGGGUGGUUAUGCAGGGCAGUUGAGGGCGGUUCUGGCCAGUUGCAUAACCACCAAAGUUGGCUUCAAGAUUUGAAUUGGAAAUUCAAAUUUGUAAUUGCAGCUUGAGUCUUUUAAAAGGGCUCCUGCAGCCUUCAAACAGGGAGAGAGAGUUUUGGGGAAAGGGUUCCUUCUCGUAUGCCUUGGGUGAGAGCAUUGUACUCUAGUUCAGGAAGCAAUUUUGUCUUGCAAGAGUGAUUAAUACAAGUUAGGAAAGGAUUCUCGUAACCUCAUGUGUCCCUGUUGCUUUGUUAUUUCUGUGUUCUACUCUGUUUUUCUAAACGUUAGGAUGGAAGGUUGGCUAAGGACUGGUCCUUAGCACCGCGCACUCGUGAAAAAUUCAGUGAGAUAUUCAGGGGUAUGACACUGACCAUGAUUACUAUAUCUAGAUAUAUGUUAUGGAAUAAUGGCAGUUGUAGUAAAUAAUACACAAUGGGUUACAGGAUAAUGUUGAUGCUUGUUGAUUUUUUUAAUAAAUACUACAUAUAGAAAAGUAGAUGUAUAACCAGCCAUAAGUGUUUUUAGUGGCUCUUGAUUACAAGUUAUUGUGCCUUGUUCAUAUGUAUUAUUUUUUUCUUCUACAUGUUUAGUGUUGUCAUUUUAGUUCCAAGUAUAAUAUUCGAUUCCUUAAUUCUAAUCUUUAUUGCCAAUAUUUUCACUUUAUUCAUGAUUUUUUUGAAUACAUGUUAGUUUAGGUUGGGUGUGGACAAUUUGGGCUACGCAUGAGUGUUGUUAGAAUUUGAUAUUUAGGAAACUAAAUGAUUAAAUGUGGAUUGCUUGGUGAAUUAUGAUUGAGAUUGAGUUAUUUUUUUCUCUUUUUAUUCAAAACUUCUUUUCAUCUAAAUAAGUCAUUGGAUAAUCACAUGAUAAUUGGCUUUGAAUAAAUUCUCCUCAUUUUGAUUCUUAGAAAUUUGAUUUGUCUUAAUUUUCUAAAAUAAUUCACACAUGUACAUUUACAUUUUUUAAUAAUCCAAAUUUAAAAAUAUACAUGAACCGUUUUCCUUUUUUGGAAAAUUGAUUUUAUACCUCAUUCAUAACAAGAUCAAUCUUAGUCUCUUUGAUAAUGGAUGGCUUUUGUAUUUAAAACCUAUCUUAGUCUCUUUUAAGUAGAAAAUUUCAAUUUCUAAAAAGAAUAAUGCUGCCCAUUUUAUUUGGUAUGCAACUUUGAAAGGUUUUAAAAUAUUUUUCCCUUAAUCUAGACUUCUUAAAUUUAAUUUUUGACAUAUUAAAUAUUAAGAAAAGAUUUCUGAAAUGAGAGAUAUAAUUUUUUUCUUUUUGACCUUGCUGCACCUAUGCUCCCCUAGAGCUGAAGGAUGUUUACUUAUUUUUAAAUGUGUCAUGAAUGUAACAUUGCCUUGUGAUUAUUAUUUUUUAUUAAAAAUAGACAUGUUAGCUAGUUGUACGAAUUUUUGUAUGAUUUUAGGACAUCUCCAAGUUAAUUAAAAAAAUAAGUUCUUGAGUAUUUUAACAAAAUGCCCUGUUCUGAACCUACUAAUAUCAUUAUGAAAUCUAGUACUAAAUGAGAGCUAAUUGAUAAAUUGGAUGAUAAAGUAGACAUAUAGAAGAUAUUCUUUGAAAAUUUUUGUAAUGAAAUUCAACUUCUAGAUAUUUGUUUUUGAUUUAUUAUAUCCCCUGUUUUGACCAUUUGCUGACUUUUUUUUUUUCUUUUUUUUUUUUUUUUUGUAAAAGAACUCAUUUGUAAAUAAAUUUGACAUUGAUUAUAUAUAAGUUUAGUUUGUAAUUCCUUUUUGAAUUCAUUACUAUUAUUUGUGAGUUAAUCUCAUUUCUAUGAAAAUGCUUUAAGAUGCUAAAACAGGUAUGCAAACCCUCUUUUCAUAAUUUAUUUAAAUUAAAGCUUAUGAUUGAACAUUGUCUAUUAGAGUUUGCUAGUUGUGUUGAGAUUUAUGACUUUAAAUUUGACUUGUUAUGGAAUAUGUGAUUGCUUAGAAUACAAUGUGAUGCUAUUGCUUGUUAUCUAACUUUUGUGUUUUUUGGAACCGCUCAAAUUAGGUAUGCCUUUCUUCAUAUAAUUGAUGAAUUGUAUUGAUGUGUUUUAUUUAGUUCAUAGUAUCCAUGAAUCAACCAAUUGAUCUUCGGAAUUAUUUCAAUUUACUUAGUAGAGACCUAGCUUUUAGGGCUUAGAGGGACGCUAUAGUUCUUCAUUGUACCUUCCUGAUAAGUAAUCUGAUACUCGAACUUAGACUCGGGUUUUCAAAGACAAGCAUUUCUAAAUAAAAAGGAGUCAUUUUCUAGGGUUUUUCUUUCUUAUUUUGUUUGUCAUUUUAAAAAAAUAAAACGAAAAUAAGUGGUGACUCCAUUAUUUAUAAAAUUGGUUUUUCACAAACAAAAAGUGAGUGUUGCCAUCGAGUGAGAAUGCAUGUGAAAAUGCGGGAUCACAAACGGUGAAGUAAAGUGGUUCUUGAUUUAUGUUUGACUUCUGUUUUUUAAACCUCCAUUUUGAUCUUUCCUCUUCGGUUCUGUUUGGUUUCCAAGAAAGUGGUCUAGGUCUAAUAUGGACCAUAGUUUCUUUCUUUUUCUUGGUUUUUGCUUGUGUUUUUCUUUUUCUUGGUAUAUCUUUGGUUUACAAGAAACAGGAGUGAAGUAAAGUAGGUUCUUUAUUUUUGUUUGGUACUUUGGUUUCUCGUUCUCAAACCUACGUUUUUAUCUUUCCUUUUAUGCUCUGUUUGGUUUCCAAGAAAGUGGUCUAGAUCUAAUAUGCACUGUGCUUUCUUUCUUUUUCUUGCUGUCUGUUUGGUUUACAAGAAGCAGGAAUGAAGUGCAGUGCAUUCUUGAUUUCUAUUUGGUUUCGAAUAAAGUGAAGGAAAAUGAUGUCUUGCUUGUUAUAUAAUCAUUGAUAAGACGCCCAGGGUAAGAACCUCAUAUUCCUAAAAACAUGCUUACCAAUGAUUUUGCUUGAGCUCUUAGAAAUAAUCUCAAAUAAUCUCACUUAAAGCUCUCAAAUAGUAAUCUAUGUCCACCAUGAUAAGACAUGAUGAAAUAAGCCCCACAAAAAUAGUAUUUCAGUGCCAUUAUUUGAACCCAAGAUGAGCCCCAUGGCUCUAUCGUUUGCCUUUCUCAAGCAAACCCUACAAAGUGAAGGCUUCUUUUCUAUUAUUUAACUGUGGAGUGAGGUAACCACAAGGGAGAACCAUCAAGUAGACGCUAUCUCUUUUGCUUUCACUCUUUAUCACUGCUUUAAGUCUAAUUAUGCCUUAGAAGUAGAAACUAUGCACUAACCAUUCUCAGGUCCCACAACCCACUAUUCAUAAGCAUCAGAGUGAUGCUGUGCAUGAAGAUACUUGUACAAGGGUUUUAUGUCAUGCAACUUUCGGUGAAUCCAAUAUGUUACGAACUCCACAAAAACAAUAUAUGCCAUGAUGUACACCAAGUAGGCAAACCAGCCAACUUCACUUAUUCUUGAAAAGCACUUUGUCCACCCAUUUUCGACUGCAUACUCUGAAAAUGUUGGGAGAGCAGCAAACCAGGGAAAACUCCUCAUGGAAGCUUUGACGUGCAAAACAAAAAUGCACUAUUGGAAUAACAUGUAAUUAAGAGCUCAAGAAGACAUGCCAUUCCCUAAUGAAACAACGCUAAGCACUAUUGGAAUAAGCACGCAUUUAAACAAAACUGACAUAGAGAGUCUCUGUUUCUGGGCGUUUUUUGGAAGAGAGUUCAAAGAUUUUCUUUCUGUAGAAGAUCAUCACAUGCACCGAUUCAAAGAAUUUAGAGAGCUUCUCAUUAGAGUCAAGGUUCUCGUCAUUCUAGACCUUUAUGAACAUCUUCUUCACGGCAGCAUUGGCAUCCCGAUUCCUGAACCUCCAUGAUUGAUUGAUCUCCAUCAUCUUCACGAUCUUCACGAUCGUGCACUAGUUCUGAAAGAAGAGACGUGAAUCUCUUCAUCGUCUUCACUCUCUAUACUUGUAUCUCGAAGGUUAUCCCGGUUUCUAUGUGCAUCGGAUCUCCAUAGAUGAACUCGGAUUUUGCAUUGAUCUGAAUCUCAAGCAUGCAUUAUUUCCAUAUUGUGCUGCCAAACUUGGUGUUUUUCUUCAUUUAUUCUUCACCACAACAGUUGGACAUAAAGGUUAGUCUCAAUGAAUCUUUACCAUUUGAAUUAGUUUAUUAAUGAUUUUUAAGUUAUUCAUUGAUGAAGUUAAGGCUAAUAGAUGAAAUUGGUUUGUUGAUUUUGAAACUCACGGCUGUUUGUGACAUGCUUUUAUCAAAAUUAGAGAAUGAAUAGAGGCUGACUAUGAUUACUAUAUCUAGAUAUAUGUUAUGGAAUAAUGGCAGUUGUAGUAAAUAAUACACAAUGGGUUACGGGAUAAUGUUGAUGCUUGUUGAUUUUUUUAAUAAAAGCUACAUAUAGAUAAGUAGAUGUAUAACCAGCCAUAAGUGUUUUUAGUGGCUCUUGAUGACAAGUUAUGAUGCCAUGUUCAUAUAUAUAUAUAUAUUAAUUUUUUCUUUUUUUAAUCCUAUCUAUGUUGUUGAUAUUAAUGCAUUGAAUUUGAUGUUACCUAAAACAAAAUUAUAUUCAUGUCCUCUAUUAUAAGUGGACAACCAUUCUUUAUGUUAGAUUUUAGAUAAAGAACGAAUAUUGAAGAUUGGAGUUGUAAGAAAUUAGGAGAUCCUAAUUUUAAAUAUGUAACAAAGUUCUAUAAUCACUUCAAUCCACAUUUAAAAAUUGUAUUUCUUUCUAAAAUGGGAUCAAACUUUUUCCUUCUUUCUUAUAAAUUUCAUUUGGGAAUGAUUUAAAAAUAAAUAAAUAAAAGCCCUUCUAAAUAUUAAAAAAACACUCUCUUAUAAAAUUUAAUUAGGUGGAUGGUUAGGUCAAAUUCGGGAUAGCUUCAUAUUUUUUGCUUUAACUGAAAAUUAAAAUCAAAAUUAAAGUAAUAAUUUUUAAGAUGUUGUAAAAGUUAUAUUAAACAUGAAAGAACUUAUUGUGUAAACAAAAAUAGAAUUAUAGAAUUCUUAUAAGAAAUAACAUUUUUAUGACUUCUAUAUGAAACUUUUUAAAAAAUUUAUCAGUUUUUCUUUUUAAAAAAUAAUUAAAUAGGUAUAAAAAACUUUUAUUCAACUUAAUUUUUUUUAACUCUUGAAAGUAAAUCCAAAUAAAAUUUAAAUAUAUUUGAAAAUCAUUUUCAAAAAUCCAAAAAAUCACCUAAAAAUAAUUUCAAAUUUUUUUUAUUUACAUUUAAAUACUAAGUGAUUCUUUUAAAAAUCAUUUGUAAUGUCAAAAUAUUUUUUUAUGGAUAAAAAUAUUACAAAUAAAAAACAUUUCAAUCACAAUUAAUUUAUUUUUAAUUCAUGAAAUUUCAUUUAUUGUUACUUAUUUUUUGGGAUUUAAUUCUUUACAAUUAUUUUUGAGUGUUUACAUAGAAUAAUUAGGUUAUGCCCAAAUUUAUUCCUUUAACUCUAUCCAUCAGAUAUAAGUAUCGUGAAAUUUUGGCCUGUCUCCACCUUUCUUCGCUUUUGACAUUGUCAUGCACUGCUUCCUCAACUCCAAACACAACCGCUGAGGAUCGAAGAAAAUGAGACAAUGGUCAAUGAAUAAUUUAUUAAUUUUUUUCUUAAUUUAAUAGCAUUGGAAUGUCAGUUGGAACAAACCAUUUGAUGAUCUUUUUCAUAAGUAUCCAUUUAGAUCAUAGUCUUUUUAAAAUAUUAGAAUAAAUCAAUUAGUCUAAGCUAUAUCAUUUAUAAUUUUUUUAUUAUUAAUAUGAUACCUAUCCUUUCACGGAAUUGAAAUAAAAUAUGAAUAAUUAAAAAAUGUCAACUAUCCAUGAUAUUUGAUACCAAACUUUUCUAAUACAACAUGAUAUCAUGUUGAAUGAAAUGGGAAUCACCAAAUGUUCUCAAAUCAAAGAUAUAUCUACAGGGGACACGUCAAAUUCUCUUUUUAUAAUCAAAGGCUUCCAAAAAAAUUCAACCAUAGCAUAUCUCAAAGAUUAGUCAAAUUCCAUUAUUUUUAUAGACUUCUAACAAUUCAAGAAAUUGACAUUAAUAAUCCCAAACACAAUAUUCUGCAACUUUACAUUAUUCUUUUUAUUGUAAUUGAAGAGGAAUACCAACUUAGUCAAAUAGAAAAUAAAUCAUGAAAGCUGAAUAAUACAAAUAUUCAGUGAAAUCUUUGGCAUGUUAUUUCUUUGCAGCUUCAACAUGGUGGCAUGUCGGAUGGAGGAGGCAGCAUUUGAGCUUCUGGGUGUUUACCAUUUUUCACUAUGAAUGCAGUUUCCAUGCCCCAAGUCACAUGGCGUUCUACAUGGCAAUGCAGGAACCACACUCCUGCAACAGAGAAAAUAUAUCGAGAUUACACCUAACUUAAUUGUAAUAUUAAAAAAAAAUUAUUUCAUUGGUAUGCAAGUUGGCAGUAUCAAGGGUUUUUUUCUUUAAUAGAGGACAUGAGUGCUUGCAACGUACCAGGGUUGGAUGCCUUGAAUCUGAUUGCAACCCAACCUUUCGAAGGAACAGAGAUGGUAUUCUGAAGGGGAGGAUCCACCAAAUUAUAGUGCAAAGGGUCCCUAUUUUCAUCGAAAUUCCUAAAUCCCCAUCCAACAACAUAGAAACUGUAUCCAUGGAGAUGCAUAGGGUGGUGUGUCUCUGCAAGCACGGCUGUCCCUUGAAGAACAAUCUCCACUGUGGAGUUAUACUCGAGCACCCUUACUUCUGUUCCACUGCUCGGCAACUGAUAGAUUAAUGGAAGAUAAUCAUAUGUAAAAUCGAACACUAGUGGUGGAAAGCUAGGAAAGUUAUUUCCAUAUACACCACUGAUGUUAUAAUAGUAAGCUUCCAGUAUGUCAACCGUAGGGGUAUGGAAGCUUAUGUUGUUUAUACUUGAGGAGAACCGCGUCCCAUUUGGCCCUGCACAUGAAUCAUUGACGCAUGGGUACGAGUUCAUAGAAAGAGUGUAAAACAACUUAGUGCUCGUGCUCAAUGGGACAUUGCAAGGAUGUUCCGCAUUUGCUAAGCUUCGGAGGCCGGCCAUGACCUGAACUGAUGCAUCUGUGUCAUUGUAUGCAGGAAGAUGAGGCAAAGAGGAGGUGAAGAUGGAGUGUAGUAUCCCCUAUAUUGUACAAUAGCUGUGGUGGUUGUGUUAUCAUAAAAGCCUUGAUAUUUCGGGGCAACAGAAUAAGUUAUAGCCGCCAUGUAAUAGUGAUUUGGGCGUUGGUUAGCUUCUAAUAAGACAUCAUAGGUUUGGCCAGGAAAUAUUGUGAUAUAAUCUCGUGUCAAUGGUUUCGUGUAGCUACCAUCUGUUCCAACCACUAUCAUUUUAUGCUUGGCUAUGGCGAAGAAGAGAGCCUCAUGCAAGGCAGCAUUGAUUAUGCGAAGUAGAUAGGUCUUUCCAUGAUCCACCGUUAGCUUGAAUGUGCCUGUAAUUAGAAAGGGAAAGUUGUAUACUUAUGACUAGCAAAAAGAAAAAGAAAAAUUUUCCAUGAGAAUCCACCAAUUAUG